rnacentral:lncRNA from 1 species
CUGAAGAGAAGCACCACCACCACCCCUUCCACCACCACAAGGAACAGACGGCUGCCGAAGCCGUUGGCUACUCCGACACCACCUACUCUGGAGGCUACGGUGGAGAGCCAGCACAUGAUUAUGAGAAAGAAAGAAAGCACCACAAGCACCUUGAGCAACUUGGUGAACUCGGUGCUGUCGCUGCUGGCGCCUAUGCCUUGGUAUAUUUCCGAUUUUGUGAUCCUUGCUUGUAUAACUCCGUUUUCAUGAUAAGCCACGAAGGCAUGCUUGUCUAUAAGAAGCCACAAAUUAAACUCAGUUUUUUUUUGUAUUAGUCCAUAAAGACUAAACAUUUUUGUUAUCAUUUCGUUUGAUCAGACAAUCAAAGAUUAUAUACGUCCAAUAUCAAAAGGGUUGUUCAGUAAAUCAGAAAAAUCUCUUUCGAAAAAUAAAAAAAGAUUAAAGAAUCUCUAGGAGGGAUAAAAUCGUAUGGUAUGGUCCAAUUAUAGUGUUGUGUUGAAUUUUAUGCUCUAAUUGGACUAAAAAUUUUGCAGUCAAUUGACUGUAUCAUAAACUCUUAUUACUAACACCAAAAAUGAAAAAAAAAUUUUCUAAACUCUUUUAAGUAGGACAUGGUUUUUGGCUUUACUAAUUUCUUGUUUGCUUUUUUUUUUGUCGAAAUUUCCAUAAUCCAGCAUGAGAAGCACAAGUCCAAGAAAGAUCCUGAGCAUGCCCACAAGCACAAGAUAGAAGAAGAGAUUGCUGCAGUAGCUGCAGUGGGUGCCGGUGGAUUUGCGUUCCAUGAGCAUCACGAGAAGAAGGAUGCCAAGAAAGAAGAGAAAAAGGCUGAGGGAAAGCACCACCACCACCUAUUUUAGUUUAACCACUCUGAUUUUCAUUAAUCCUUGGGUGGUCUUUUUAAUAUUGUUCCCUUGUGUAUCUUCCAGUAUUGAGCUCGUACUGCCAAUAAUCAUGUUUAAUAAUCUGUUACUCAAAAAAAAAAAAAAAAAAGUGUUGUUUUUCAUUUGAGUUGUGCGCCUGCUUUUGUUGGCGCUGCUGACUUGAUUAGAGUUUGUGUGAAGUGCUGUUGUUAUUAAUGAAAUGUUGGUUGCAGUAUAAAAAUUAGAUAUCAGUUUGGAAUAUGCUCAAAGGAUGAUGAGUAUUCUUUUGGGCUCUAUCUGAUGAUCCGCAUAGAAAUUUGUUUUUCCCAAUAAUUUGUGACGUUACUCGAAAUGAAAUUUGUUAUGAUGUUGAUUGAAUAAUGAAUGUCUAGUAUACUUCAACAUUGAACACUAAUCGAACGUUGAGGUAUGGCCAUUUCUUGCGCCCCUUCCGUCUCCCACGAUUAGGAUUUAUCCUAACUGAUUGGGAAAGGAUCAGGACCUAUAAAUAGCAAUGUCAUGAAAUUCCUAGCACUCACACUUAAUAACAAAAAAAAUAUCAAAAUUACAUUCCUUAACCAUUACAAACUGACAACCACAAUGGCUGAUCAGACUCAGCACCACCAUCUCUUCGGCCACCACAACGAGGAAGAAAGGAAACACCACAAGCAUCUUGAGGAGCUCGAGGAGCUUGCAGCUGCUGCCGCUGGUGCCUACGCUUUGGUAAAAUUCUAAUGUUCUUGAUUUAAGCUGGUUUAUGUCCCCCAUAGAUUAAUCAAUCAAAAUAAAAAAAAAACAUGCUUUUUCAUUCACGGAAGAGGAAGAUCUAUGCAUCAAUUUUGGUACAACUAUUGUUAGACGUCUCCCCUAAAAAAUCAAGAUUGAUGAUGGGUUAGGCAGUAGUGGACGUUCAUCUGUAUACUCUACUGUUAGGAGGAGAAGUUGCAUUUAAUUUUGGAGAAUGUCAAAAGCCAGUUUCUUAAAACCCAUAUGGUAGUGGGUUCAGAAUGGACUAGAUCUGCAGGUGGCUAAAAGGUGUUACAUCAACCGCUAUUUCUAAGAUAUCUAAAGAUUGAAAACUAGAAGUGAUUCCUGAGCAAAACCAAGCCCAAGUACUAUACUAAAACUUGUAGACAUAAUUAAUAUGGUCUGAGCCAAAAUAAUUUAUGAACUUUGUUAGCUGAUCUAUGGUGUGAAUUUGCAUGGAAUGAUGGUCAGCAUGAGAAGCACGAGGCCAAGAAGGAUCCGCAGAAUGCCCACAGGCACAAGUUAGAAGAAGAGAUUGGUGCAGCAGCUGCAGUUGGAGCUGGCGGAUUGGCAUUCCACGAGCAUCAUGAGAAAAAUAAUGCCAAAAAAGAAGAAGAAAAAGCCGAGGGAAAGCACCACCAUCACCACCAUCUAUUUUGAAUAAUGAUAAGGGUUCCUUCAAUUUUCUUCCCAGUUUACAUCCAGUUUUCUACUUUUACAAGAAAAAAUUAUGUUUGUUUUUUCUCUAAAAAAAAAAGGUAAUGUUAAUUUAUCUUCGGGAUUUUCUCCUGAUUUUAUUGGCGCAACUGACCUAGUACAUUUGUGGUGGAAUUGGUCUCAGUCUUACGCUCAAUUAUUUGUGUAAUAAUUCUAUCAUUAUGUUGGUGUCUUAUAAUCUAUGUCAUAAUUGAUGGAUUUUCUUAGCCGAAGAUAUAACAAAACAACCGACUGAUCACUGGUUAGAGUCAUCAAGGGAUAAGUGGAAAAUCACUGUUGAUCAUUUUUAAGGUAAAAAAAAAGAAGAAGUAAAUUUAGAGCAUUCAAUCUUUUCUUGAGGCUUUAUAUGCAUUUAAAGACUCGUGGAACAAUUAAACUUGUUGCAAAAAUAAUUUUGUUGGUUUUGCGACAUGUUAAAUCUCAAUUGUUAAAAUUGGAUACUUUGCUUGAUGUGACUGUAUAACAUCCAGCCCAUUUGGAAAUGCUAGGACCCAAAAUUUAAUGGUGAGAAGUCCAAUAUCCUUGGACGCUAUUGGAGGAGAGAGAUUCUUGAUUAAGUUCCUUAUCUUCAUGAAGGUGACAGGCUGUCUACAUUACUUCCCAAUUUAGUUCCUUUAUCUUUGUAGAAUGUGACCAAUGUAUAACAUUUAUGAUUUAACCGAAAAUUGUGGGAAACUAAAGAAUGAAUGAGUCACUUGAAUUGCUCCGAAACUAUUGGAAGGCAAUCUUUUAAGUGCCGAAAAAUAAAUAUUCUGUGGUGUUAAAGCAAUGAGAUGUGCGAAAUGACUUCCUAAAAAAUAGCAUCCACAUUUGUUUUUCAUUUAGAGGUAUUUCAGAUUUUCGAUCAGGUUAAUCCCUUAAGAUUGUGUAGAGCCUUACUCCAAGAAUACACAGCAUAACACACAGAAUCAAUCACGGAACCUACUGAUAACUACCAGAUUACGAAACCAGUCAAAUUAGCGCUGGGCAAGCAUCCAUAUUUACAAAUGUGAAAUAUUGAUGCGAAAAGUUUUGACUGGCAUUCUGUAAUGAUGAAUAUGGCACUAUGAACCCUUAUUGAAAUAUCGCCGAAUUCCACAUUAUAGUAAGACAUCUAUUAGAAAAUUGAAAAUCUUGGUCCUUUGUCUUAAUCAACGUCAUUGUUCUGUUAUCAUGGCUAUAGUCUUAGUCCCUUAACUAUAAAAAUUUGAUCAAUGCAGUCCGUUGAAUAGAAAAUUGGUCCCUAAUAAAUUUUUAAAAAAAUUAGUAGCAUCAGUUACACAACCUACACGGCACGGUUAGAUAUUCCAGGCACGAUACUUGACUAUUCUACCUGUGGCUUUCGUUAAUGGAGGAAAAAAGGUGAGAAGAAGACUCAGGUCUCCGCCUACAAGUGCUGGCCAAAUGGACAAAAUGAAUAUCAGAAUAUUGUUCAAUUUGAUGUUACAUAAAUUGGACAUUAGUCUUUGAUGAAAAUAGCUGCUCAGCAAUGACAACGGUCUAUAGACACAUUAACAAUCCACAAAGUAAAAAUUUUGGCCUCAAUUGGUAGGUGGAGGAGCGUACCAUGUUUGUCUUUUGAUCAACAUAUAAUGUGGCCACAAAUCUCACACCAAGAUUUUGAUCAUGUUUGUCCCCGUUAAGGGCCAUAAUUUUGUGAUGCAUUUUUUUUUUUUUACCUCUGAAUCAGUUAUAAAAAAUAUUCAAAUCAAUAUUGGAAGUUCCCUAGUAAUUCAUCAAAUAGCUUCUACGAGCUGAGUUUCAAACUAUGUUAGCCGAACCCAAGCAUGAGAAUUGGUUGUUUUAGUGCAAAAUGAAGAGUCUAACACUAAGAACGGCAAGGCAAAUUGAUUAACGGCUAAAUUUCACCAUUCAUUGUGUCUUGGAUAUGAUUUUUUUUGGUCAAGCAUAUUUGCAAAAAUUGAUAACACGAAUUAGAGUUCAGACUUCAUAAUUUUACUGAAUCAUUUUAAGGAUUGAAACUGAGUAAAACUUUACCUCUUUUCAUUUUGCCCCCUUUCUCCCCCAUCUCCAAUUCAGGAUCUUGGGCUUCUCAAGUUGCAGUUCACUCCAUUUCAGGAUAAAAGGAUAAUUUUAAUAUUUGUUUAUACUGUAUUCAAAUUAUUUACGCCAUAUUUAUAAUUUUUUUUACACUAUAUUCUAACUCAUUUACACCAAGGACAAGCUUGUCUUGUGAAAACCCAUCCACCUCAAGUAAACGUCAACAUGAAAAAUCAAAGUGGGAAUGGGAAAUGUGGGGAACUCCAACCACACAAGAGCAAGAUGUCCAAUAGGAUGAUGGGGAAUACUAGAAGUUUACUAUUACACUGAAUUGAAACUAUAUAAUUUCUCAAACCAUUUUAGCAUUCUCGGCGUAGUUAGGAAUAUGUACUACUAGUUAUAUAUUGAUCUCAUGCCAUAUACUUAUCUGAUAGUUCUUUGGCCAUGGCCAGAACCGACUUCACGACGGGCAAGUUAUAUGUUCUCUUAAAGCUAGAAGGGCAAAUUGAUCUAUCGGGGUCGUUCUCAAUUAUCAUAAUUUCUAUGUGGAUCAAUUAGCCCUCUUGCCUUGAAAGAACAUAUAACUUCUGAUCCUGCAACUUCAAUCUUGGCAGAAAAUUGGCCUGCUGUAGUCUCCUUCAGCUACUGGAUUGGAGUCACUUGCAGCUCUCGCCAUAAGGCGGGGUUACCGAGGUUAGUAUUUCGAACAUGGGUUUCGCGGGCAGCGUUCCUCCACACCUAGGAAACCUCUCGUUUCCUGUUUCUCAUGUCUUGCUUGUUUCUCUUUGACAUGAGAAACAAAUUAACUGAAACGCUGGCUGUGCUGCCAGAAAACAUGGUUGAUUUGGGUCGAUUGAGAUACAUUGAUUAAAUUGAUAUAAUCUACAGUUUUGCAGGAGGAAUACCAAGAGAGAUUUGUAAUUUAACUAUGCUCAAUAGCCUGGUUUUACCAUUUAUGCAAUAACCACUUGACAGAUAGAUUAAUAACAAUACUAUUCCUUUUUGUUGAUUAACCUUCAAAGAUGCUGAAUUAUCACGUUGGUUACCCCCAUGAACAUUCAUUUGCAUCAAUCUCUCUUGACUUUUUCAGUUGUCCAGUUGGUAGAUAGCAGUGCAGUUGUUUGGAUGGUAGCACUCUUGCAUUUUUUUUAAAAAAACUUUCUCACCUUUUUUUGGUUUAAGUAAGGGAUUUUGAAUUCAGAAUCUUUUACAUAUAAUAUAAUCUUUGUUUUAUCACAUUAGAAUUAGAACUGACAUUCUAAUUAUAAUAUGAUACAAAGAUGAAAUAUCCUACAUCGGAUGGAGGAAAAGAAAAGGAAUCGUAUAUAACGUCCAAUCCAUCAAAUUACCAAUAACUUUGGAUUAAUCAUUUUGAUCCCGUGGUUUUAGCUCAAGAUAUUGGGUCAGCCCGACUGGCACAGGGACGUUACAAGUGGUAUUAGAGCGAAUCUGUGUGGGGUAAGUCUAAACCAACAGGUUAUGGUUCAGAUUGCGCAAAGAAGUGCAAGAAACUAAGUACUAUAUGGAGUCAAGUGUCACGUCGGACGAGGGCCAAUUUUGAAACCUGUAUGAGCCAUAUCUAGAAUCUGCACAUGACUAAGUGGAUAAUUUGAACUGUAACAGGCUUUAUGACAAUAUUUAUGCAGUUCUAAAGAGCCACCACUAGAAUUUGCGCGCAAACUAACGAGUCACCUCUAAAAUUCGCGUACGACUAAUGAGAAUGCAAAGUUCUAAAGAACCACCUCUAGAAUCUGCGUACAACCUAAAGAACCACCUCUAAAUUUUGUGCAUGACUAAAUGAACAGUUUGAAUUGUAAUAGGUUUUGUGAUAAUGCAACGUUUUAAAAGAUGGAGAGAGUGAAGUAUCCCACAUCGGACCCAUGAAAAGAAAAGAAAUACUAUAUAACGUCCGAUCUAUCAAAUUACUAAUAACUUUACAUUAACGAUUUUGAGAACCUAACGUCAGCUCAAAAGGCUGUUGGGUCAGUCUAGUGGGCGUGGGACUUUACAAAAGAUCUUAAUCAUUGGAUCGCGUUCUCAAAGACAAAGUAAAAUGAUCCAACAUCUGGAAUCUGACGACUCGGUAUACCGAUGGGAUGUUAGUUUAAUGAUAUUCUUGAAUUAUUGCAGAAUAUUGGUUGUUGAAAAUUUUCAUGGGUGCCUAAAUGUUUAAGUGAUGCUGCCCACUCUUUUGCUAAUCUUUUAAUAGAUUAUGUGAGUAUAUGGGAUCCUUGGGGCAACUCAUACUACUUCUAUAUUUAUGUCAAGUGUGCUAUUUAUUUAAAUUGUCAUAUACUCUUUAAUUUUAUAAUAACUCAAAUUGAUUUGAUUUAACUCAAGUUUCCUUCAACCUCACAUAAUAAGUGGGACUGGUAUUGAAUUUGGUAUCAAAUAGUGGUAUUGAGAAUCCCAACUCUUAUGUGGAAGAACUCCCCUCCAUUUUUUGCUAUUCCACAUUUGCUGCGGAUCUUCCUUAAUGAAAUCGGCUUUAAGUUUUUCUAGAAAAAAAAAAUUCAUUGGACCGCAUGUAUUAGUAACUUUUAGUCUCAUAGCUUAUUCACAAGAAUUAAUGCCAAUGCUAUUAAUAAGCUAACUAGAAAUCAUCUAGUAUAAUUUGUUUCAUAAAAUUAGAAGAGGAAUUCUAUAAAAAUUCAGUUAGAUUGGUAGAUUUAGCAUAGUUUACUAAAGUAUGCACAACUUUAUUUGCUCCCCUGAAAAUUCAUUGAAUAGCAACAUAAUUUUGUUCUAACAAAACCAAUCGCACGUCUGCAAUUAUUGUUGUUUGGAUGGUGCACUUGUACUCAUUUGGCAGGUUCGAUUCCACAAGAAAUCCGCAACUUAUUCAAAAGGGGUAACGUGAACUGCACGUGUUCUGAAAAUAUUGAAAAAUUGAAAAGCUUAGUCUCUUAUCUUAAUGAGUAAAUCUUAUAUACACUGAUAGAAUAUACACUAUUACCGCUAGAUUUCUGACAUUUGAGCAAAACUUGAAUUUCAAAUUCAAAUUUUGCGUAGUUGUCAUUUAUCUAAUGCUGACAGUGUAUACACUAUCAGUGUAGGAAAGAUUAAUCCUAUCUUAAUUAAGUCAUUGCUGCUUAAUUAUCACUGGAUUCAUCAUUCAUGGCUAACAAAUUCAGAGCUUUACUAUCAAAAAUUUGGUCAGAUUAGUUCAUUUAAUAGAAAACUGGUCCCUUAAAUUUAAGGACAAAUUACACUUUACCCCCUUGUGAUUUAGCGUUUUUUCACAUAACCCCCCUAUGGUUUCAAAAACUAUACAUAACCCCCUCAUGGUUUGGAUUAAAGUGUCAAAGUGACGGAAAUAGUCACUCGUAACGGAACUUCUAAAAAUGUCGAAAUUACCCUUAUAAAUACAGGACACAUUAACCCCGUAUGCUUUUUAUAUUUUACCAUAUAACCCCCUUAUGAUUUAGUACUUUACCAUAUAACCCCCUUAUGAUUUAGUACUUUACCAUAUAACCCCCUUAUGAUUUUCAAAAUAUACACAUACCCUUGGUUAAUAAAUAAUUUUCAACUUUACAUAAGAGUAAUUUUGACAUUUUACAUGACGCCGUUACGAAUGAUCAUUUCCGUCAUUUUGACACUUUAAUCCAAACCAUAAGGGGGUUAUGUAUAGAUUUUGAAACCACUGGGGGGUUAUGUGAAAAAAUGCUAAAUCACAAGGGGGUAAAGUGGAAUUUACCCUAAAUUUAAAGAUUUGGUUAUUGUGACCAUAAAAGUUAUAAAAUUUUUUACAUCAAUUAAUUUGCAUUGGACGAAUUUCAACUUGUAAGGCAAUUGAUACGCUUACAUGGAAGACUUCGGUCAAAAUGAAUACCAUUGUAACUGCUUAGAAUAAUUGCACAAUCAGAUAUUUUGGAAGAUGUUGUUGACAUUUCUAAAAGAGUCUCUGUCGCUCCAUCCUCUCUCCAUGCUUUUAAAUUGAAAGGAAGAAUGCAAUGCUAAAUACAUUUUUACGAGUGCUAAUAUUAUUUUCCGAUAUUUUUUCCAUUGAUUGGUCUUUGUUGACGAUCGUUACUCACCAAUCAGUAUGGUCCACAGUUGAUAUAGACACAUCUCUACCAUAUAAAUGUGCUGAAGGUCUUAUGAAUAGUAUGGGAAUCGUCCUCUGACUCGUUCUGCUAGUUUUUUUUUUUUUUUUUUAUUGGGCAAUGCUGUUUAAAUCGGUGGCAUUUUUAUCAUAUGGGUUAUGCCAUUUGUGUCUCUAUCAUUUUGUGUCUUUAUUUAGCAUGCUGGUUUGUUACUUUGUUAUUUGUUGUGUGUUCUGUAAUGCCCCUUUCAUGUGUCAUUUAUUUCAGCUUUGCCAUAAUCUUUUGCUGCAUGCCUUCUCAGACUUUUUGGCUAUUAUCUGAUUGCAUGUUGGCCAUUUUUUUUGGCUUUUGAAGGAGACAGCCCCUCAUUCCAAUUGACCUUUAAAAUUUCCAUUAACUCUUCUGUCUCUAUUCCACAUGAGAAAACAAGUAAUUCAGUUCAUACCAAAGAAAAAAAAAAAAAAAGUAAUUCUGUCAUUAAGUAUUAUUUUACUUAUUUAUUUACAUGUCUUUAUUCUUGAUCUUGAACUUAUAAGCAUUUGCUUUCUGGCAUUGCUAAUAUUUCUAGAUGAGCCUGAACCCAUACACAGUGGCAAUGGUGUUCUGAAUAAUAAACCUGCAUGUACCGUGGUUUACCAUGCAUAUGCAUAUAUAUAUCACAUUUAUAUUUUUGUAUGGAUUAUGUACAGAUGUGCAUGUAUGGAUUUUAGUCUUAUAUUUUUAUUCAUCCAUUUAUAAAUAAAAUUGAUGUCUAUAUUUGUUUACAUGAAGAAAAUGCUAUUAAAGAUUAGUUUUUUGUUUAAAUGACUGCUUUUCUAUCUCAUAAUAAUUCUAAAAAAUUAUGAAAUUGGUAUAUCAAUUGUAGUUAUUAUUAUGAUUAAAGAAUAAUUUGUUUUCUUGCCCCCCCCCCCCAAAAAAAACAAAAUAUUAUUAUACUUAAUAAAAUAACUUUCCUAAAAAAAAUUAAGAUCUCCUUAAUCGUCUAUAUAUUCCAUAACCAUUAUUAAACAUCUGCAUAUUUCAUAAUCGAUACUGUUAUUUUCGCUUUUUGCAGUGCUUCAUUUAGCUUAUUUUCUUCAUCUCCUCUUAUUUGUUUGGUCUUCUCCAUGCAAGCAAUAAUUUAUCCUCUGGCACUUCUUUCUCAUAAUGAUGUUCUUCAGCUUCCUCGGUUUGUUCAUCUUUCUUUUUUACCCUGGAUAAGUAUGAUGUGUUUAUGCUGGGAUCAUGUUCUACUUUUUCCUCAAGACAUAGAAUGGCUUUCUUUUCUUUAUUCUUUUAUUUGUAGUUACUUUCAAUUUAGCUAUUUUCUGUCUUUUCUCAUAACCAUUUUGGCUAAUACGAGAUGAAACAAUAUUUACUCAUUCAACAAAAUCCUUCUUUUGUUGGAAGUUUUCCUUCAAAAAUUCAUUGAUAAUUAUUACUUGCAUUUUAUUUCCAUUUAUUCUUGUAAACUUAUUUUGAGUUUUAUUUACAUAAUACACCACUACAAAAUAAAUACAUUAGACCUCGAGAAAUAAAUAUAAAAGAAAAGCCAAAAGAUCAUAUAAAAAUUGCGGGUUCCACCAACUAGUUAAUAUUUAAUACUCCACAAAGUGAAAAUAUUGCCCUCAAUUGGUAGGUGAAGGAGCGUAUUCUAUUUGUCUUCUAAUCAAUACAUUUGUGGCCACAAAUCUCUCUUUUUUCAAAGUUCUUGCCCAUGUUUGCCUCCGUCAAGGGCAAUAAUUUUGUGAAUUACUUUUUUUAAUUCAUUAAAUCGGUUUUAAAAAAUAUUCAGAUCAACAUCGAAAGUUCCCAUAAUUUAUCAAACAGCAUCUGUGACUUUCAUACCAUUCUUUUGAUUUUUGAUGUUAAUUACUAGAAGCCAAAUAUUACAAUUAAUUUGCUCUUGGAUGUGAUUGUAAUUGUGAAGCAUAGUUGCAAAAAUCGACAACGUGAAUUAGAGCUCAGACUUCAUACUCAUAACUGAAUCAUUUUAGGGUUUUGAAAUCAAGUACAAAACUUUAGGUUAAUCAUACCCUCCCUCCCUGAACUAUGGGUAAUCACAUUUUGUACCCAUCAACUAAACGUUUUACUAACAAUAUGAAAAGGGGAUAAUUUCAGAAACUUCCCCUGAGGUUUCUGACUAUUUCACUGAGGUUUGCAAUAUUACAUUGGCCUUUCCUGACAAAAAUUUGGGCUCGAUUGCUUGGAUCGCAUAGUGUAAAAUUAGUACUAUGCCUAAAGAUAUUAUGUAUUAUUAGAAGAUUAAUAUCUGACAAAUGAAUAAUUACGGCUCAAAUUAAUUAAUUCCAAUUGAUUAAUGAACAUAAAUAUGGUCCUUAAUAAGAAACUAUAAUUGCAAUUACACAAAUGGUGCCAAUUGAUAUACUAAAAUGGCCCCAUUUUUUUCAUUAACAUCAAUAAUAAGGACAACAAAUCAGUUUUAUAGAAUAUGAGAAGAAGGCAUCUCGUAGAAGAAAGAAAAACUAAGAAGAAAGAUGGAGAAAAUGAAGGCUGAACAUGAGAGAAAUUUCUAUUGAAACUCGUGAUGUUGUGAUAGUACGUAGCAAAGUAAUUUUGUAGUUUUAAAGGAGAAAGGAGAGAGUAUAAAGGCGUAAUUUGAGAUUUUUUCUGCUAUAAAUUGUAACUAUUAUAGCAAUACAGGUAAUCAAUCUCUCGUUAUCAAUCUAAUAUUGGAAAGAUGACAUGUUAGUUGACUCAUAAAUUGCAAAGCAUGACAAAAGUUAUCAUCUGUUAUAUUGAUAACAAUUAUUUCUAAUUGUUAUUAGUUUUGAUUAUUUUACUAAUACAACUUGUACUGCUACAAAAGGGGCAUUUGUGAAAAUAAUUUUUCAUCUCUCUCUUCAGAACACUUUUUUAAGCAUACUUUUUAUGAUUUGGACUUAUUUUAUUACCAAAUACUUAAUCUCAAGGGAGGUUUGUGCAAUUUUAUAAAUCUUAAGGGAGGCCAGUGAAAUAGCUGAAAAUCUCAGAAGAGGUUUCUCAAAUUAUCCCUAUGAUAAAAUCAAAGGACUAAAUGUGUGGUUGGGGGGUGAGGGGGGUGGGGUUAUGGGGUUGGUGGUCCAAGGACGCGAGAUGGCGGAGUGUCAAAUAUGCUCAUUGUGAGCACCAAGAAGUUAACUACACUGUCUUUAAACUAAAUUUCUCAAAUUUCUUGGAACUACUCAAAUUUCUCAAAUUUCUUUGAACUACACUGCCUCAAAUUUUAGUAUUCUCGGCAUGGUUAGGAAUAUGGAGAACUACUACAAGUUAUACAUUGAACUUGUAUUGUCUACUUGUCUGGUAGUGUCUUCUUUGGCCAUGUCCACAACCAACUUCACCACUGAUCAAUCAGCCCUUCUUAGCUUGAAACAGCAUAUAACUUCUGAUCCUGGAGGUUCAAUCUUGGGAAACAAUUGGUCCACUGCAGUCUCCGUCUGCGAGUGGAUUGGAGUCACUUGCAGCUCUCGCCAUCCGGGCAGAGUUACUCAGGUUAAUAUUUCGAACAUGGGUCUGGCGGGCACCAUUCCUGCAGACAUAGGAAACCUCUCGUUUCUUGUUUCUCUUGACAUGAGAAAUAAUAACUUUCAUGGCGUGCCACCAGAAAGGAUGGUUAAUUUGCGUCGAUUGAGGUACAUUGAUCUGAGAUACAACAACUUUGUUGGAGAGGUACCAUCAUGGUUCGGUUUGUUGGAUAAGCUCCAAUCCCUGCUUUUAUCCAAGAACCAGUUUAGUGGAGUUAUACCAAAACAAAUUGGGAAUCUCUACAAGCUUGAGCACCUGAGAAUGCCCUACAACAACUUGGAAGGUACUGUCAAUCCAUCUAUUCGUUAUGCAGUUUGUCACAAUCAAGAAAUGAAUAUGUAAAGUUUGAUUAAAGACCGGGGGAAGUAUCUAUCCUAUGCACUUGUCAUUGAAAUUAAAGACUUGGGUAGGCCUCUGUAGAUUCUCCUCGGGAGUAACUAUGCCUAAGCAAAUGAAAAUCAAAAUAGGUACAAGUAUCUGAUUUCAACCCAAAGCUUACUUAGCUUCUACAUGCAUGAAACUUUGUUAACCUCAGAAAAGGUGAUGUAAUUAACGGUUUUGCAGGAGGAAUACCAAAAGAGAUUUGUAAUUUAACCAUGCUCAAAAGCUUAGUCUUAUGCAGCAACCACCUGACAGGUACGUUACUCACCCUUCAAAGAUGCUGAAUUAUCACUUACUUUACCUCCAUGAACAUUCAUUUGCAUCAAUUUCUUUUUUGACCUUUUUAGUUGUCCAGUCUGGUAGAUAAUAGGUUUAGUAGCGUAGUUGCCGGGAUAGUAGAACUGUUGUGUAUUACUUACUAUAAGUUGAUUCUUUUGGUGAUGAUAAUAUGAUCUGUAUAUUAUCAUAUUAGAAUUAGUGCUGAACAUUCUAAUUCUAAUACGAUAAAACAAAGACCUUAAUCAUUGGACCAUAUUAGUAACUUUUAGUCUCACAGUUUAUUCAGAAGAACUGUACCACAUAAUGAGGCUUCAUUUGUGCGAGCUUAAUUGUAGUUGUAUAGAUGGUACUCAUUUUGGAUUGGCAGGUUCGAUUCCACAGGAAAUUGGCAACUUGAUCAAAUUGGAGAAUCUUUGCCUUCAAUUCAACAGCUUAACUGGUUCGAUUCCAAUUGGGAUAUUUAAUAUUUCGGCCCUGCAGAUUUUCUCACUUGUAAGAAAUCAUAUUAUUGGCAAUCUUCCACCAAACUUUGGUUAUGCUCUACACAACUUGGAAGAACUUGAAAUUGGUGGCAAUAACUUGAGUGGAGUUAUACCCAGGUCUAUCUCAAACUGUUCAAAACUGGCCAGAUUAUCCCUUGGUCAGAACCAAUUCACUGGCAAAGUUCCCAAUUCCAUUGGAGAUUUAAAACUUCUUGAAGUCCUGGAUUUAUCUGAGAAUGAUCUGACUAGUGAUCAAUCUGAAUCUCCAGAGUUGAGCCUCAUCAUUUCUCUCACAAAUUGCAAAUCAUUAGGAAGACUUGCAUUGGCAGGUAAUCCUCUCAAUGGCAUGCUCCCCGUCUCCAUGGGAAAUCUUUCUAAUUCUCUUGAAAGGAUAUACGCACGUAGCUGUAGGAUCAGAGGUAGCAUUCCAGAGAGCAUUGGCAACUUGAGCAACUUGAUAGUAUUGAGCCUAUUUGACAAUGCCUUGACUGGUUCCAUCCCUAGUACACUCAAAGGUUUGCAAAAGCUUCAAGGUCUAUUACUUUACGACAAUAACAUCGAAGGAACCAUUCCUACCAAUCUCUGUAAUUUACUAAGUUUGAGUACUGUGGAUGUAAGCCGCAAUCAAAUUUCAGGUUCCAUCCCAGGAUGUAUAGGUAAUCUCACAUCCCUAAGGAAUCUCCAUCUUGGAUUCAACAGAUUAGCCUCUAGUGUUCCUAGAAGUUUGUGGAAUCUCAAGGAUCUCUUGGAACUUAGCCUAACAUCAAAUAUCUUAAUUGGAUCUCUUCCUCCAGAAAUUGGAAAGCUAGAGGUUGUAACGUUGUUAGACUUGUCUGUGAAUCGUUUCUCAGACAGCAUAGUACAACUGGGGAGCUGGAAAAUGUGAUUCACCUUUCUUUGGCACGUAAUGCCAUUCAAGGCUCAAUUCCUGAGUCAUUUAGUAACUUGUUAAGCCUUGAAUUUUUGGACCUGUCGCAUAACAACCUUUCUGGUUCAAUUCCCAAGUCAUUGGAGGCUCUUAAAUUUCUCAAAUACUUCAAUGUUUCUUUUAAUGAUUUAAGAGGUGAGAUUCCAUCUGAUGGUCAAUCCUGAAUCCUUCAUAUCCAAUGCAGCAUUGUGUGGAGCAUCUCGUUUUCAUGUCAAAUCAUGCGAAACUGUUGCUGAGCAUAGAUUGAAGCACAAGAGGAAUAUACGGAUCAUUUUUGUUGUGUUAGGAACUGCAACUGUACUAAGUGCCAUGGCCUUUGGAUUUCUUUUCUUCAGAUACCGAAAGAAAGAUAUUGUCUCGAGUCGAAGAAAUUUCUCGUCAUUGAUGUCCAAACCAAGAUUUUCAUACAAUGAACUUUUUCAAGCAACUGAUGGUUGGAAUAAUAGAAAUUUACUUGGCUUGGGGAGCUUUGGAUCUGUUUACAAAGGUACUUUUCGUGAUGGGAUAGUUCUGGCUAUCAAAGUAUUUAAUUUGGAACUAGAAGUGGCAUUUGAGAGCUUCGAUGCAGAAUGUGAGAUGUUGAGCAAUAUUCGCCAUCGCAAUCUAACUAAAGUUAUAACUUGUUGCUCUAAUGCUGAUUUUAAGGCCAUAGUGCUUGAAUACGUGCCUAAUGGUAGCCUUGAGAAUUGGUUGUAUUCCCAGAAUCAUUUCUUAGAUGCUACGCAGAGAUUGACUAUCAUGAUUGAUGUUGCAUAUGCACUGCAAUAUCUUCACCAUGGUCAUUCAACACCAAUGGUCCAUUGUGAUCUGAAGCCUAGUAAUAUCUUGCUUAGUCAAGAUAUGGUUGCACAUCUUUGUGAUUUUGGCAUCUCUAAAUUGUUGAGCCAAGAAAGCAGCUUUACAUACACUCAAACACUGGCUACAUGCGGAUAUGUUGCACCAGGUAAACUCUAUACAGUAUAUGCAUGAACACAACCAUGUCAUAACUCAUACGCAGUUUGUUAUAGUAACCUUCAUCACUGAUCUUUUUGCAUGCUUAUUGCUGUAGAGUAUGGAUCUGAAGGACUGGUUUCGACGAGAUGUGAUGUUUACAGUUAUGGAAUUGUAUUGAUGGAAGUAUUCACCAGAAAAAAGCCGAAUGAUGAGAUGUUUGGUGAAAAUUUGAGCUUGAAGAGUUGGAUACUUGAUUCUUUGCCAAAUGCCAUAGUUCAGGUUAUAGAUGCCAACUUGAUUAGGCCUGAUAAAAGCAGCUUUAGCCAGGAGCUAAAUUGCAUAUCAGCUAUAAUGGAAGUGGCAAUGAAAUGCUCAAGAGAUUCGCCAAGAGACAGAAGUACAAUGGGAGAUGUUCUCGAGGAAUUGAAAAAGAUCAAACUUCUUCUUUCAGCAUUGGACAGAGAAGAUUGAGUUUCAUCUGAUCAAUGGCAAGUGAGGACAUACUGUGGUCAUUAGCUGAAGUCAGAGUUACUUACAAAGGAGUUUUAUAGUCGUUGAUGACUGCAGAUGAAGUUUGUCAUGCUGCCACAGAAUGAGGAUCUUGGUUCUUGAUAGAAAUCAAUAGACAGAGGGAAAUUUUUGGGCGUAAUGAUUUUUUUACACUCGCAACUUUGGAUUUAUGCUACAUAUGCAUGAUCUGAAUUUCAAAUUUGGAUGCAUAUUAUGUGACAUGAUCUAAACCAACUAGUUUAAAUAUAUAUAUAUAUACUAACAGUGUAUAGAAAAGUUAUUCAUAAGUUAAAUCCUUGGGUAGAUCAUUGCCUUGCCUAACGCGGAUCGAAGCACAACAAUGGAAAAUGAUCCAUCCUAAAGUUGAAUUCCUGCCAAAUCAAAAGUAAGAAUCCAGCUCAGCUCGGCCAAAUUUGAACAAUUCAUGUCAAUUUUUUUUAAUAUUUUUAUUUUCAUAAUGCAAGCUAGAUUUGUGCCUGCUCAACUCAGUCUAAUUUGGACACGAAUUAUUCAAUAACAUCCAAAUGCAACAACAAAGUUUGUAACACAUUCUUUUUAGGUUUCUUUCAUUUAUUUUUUGUUAGGAAAUGUUAUUUGCACUUUCAUAUUUUUAUCAGAUAAUUUUUAUUUAUUAGACUAUAUGAUAAAAAUAAACGAUGGGAGUGUAAUUAACAGAAAAUGAAGUGCAAAUAAUAUUUUUCUUUUUUUCCCUUUUUCAUUCUUCGUAUCCAUGUAAAACUUUUUUAAGGGCAGACUAAAUUCAUGGUCUUCCGUCUUAAAUUCGCACGUAGUACAACUUUAAUACAAAUGGUACAAAUUAUCAAUGCACAUAGUACGAGUUAUUAAUGCAUUAAGGGUAUGAAUUUAGACGGUUGGGAGUGUGAAUUUAGGCCUUGUUUGUAUUGCUUGUUCCGUCGAAAAAUAUUGUCGUUUUCCGUGAUCACAUUUCUCUAUCACCUUUUUCCCUCACAUAUAUCAAAUCGCUAUAGUAAUUUUUCCAUGAAAAAUGACGGAAAAUGCAAUCCAAACACAACCUUAGCCUGUUUCUUGUGAAUAUCAACAAUUUAUAAUUGCUCAUAAUAUGGAACAAUCUAAACAAUUUUCUUAGGUGACAUACAGCUUAAACAUUGAACAAUCCCAGUUACAGGCCUCGCACUUUUGCCCAUUAUUUUGUCAAGAGCCGUAUCGAGAGAUUUGCUUGAAAGUUGAAAAAGCACCUAAGAACCAAAUCUGGCCAAAUUACACAUUUAAGAUUUCAGUCAUACACAUUUUAUUCAAACACAAAUCUAAGUGCAACUUGUGUAUUUCUUUUCUUUUCUUCUUUCAUUGCACAAAAGCUUAUUAACUAUGCAGAACGUUGUGGAAUGGCCAUUUCUCCAGCCCUUUCCAUCUCCCAUGAUGAAGAUAUAUACUCGUUUUUAGGAGUUACAUUAAAUUUUGGAGAAUGUGCAAAAUCUAAUUCCUGUUAAACCCAUUCAAAAGUCUUGCUUUUAAUUAGAGCAAAUGUGUGAUUUGCUUAAAUGGGCUAUAUCUGCAAGUGGCUAAAAUUUGUUGGAUCAUCCGCUAUUUCUAAGACAUCAAUUGCUCGAAUACCAGUAGCAAAUAUUGAUCAAACUAUGCCCAAGCACUAUAUAUACUUAAAACUUGUAGACAUGAUGGUCUAAAGAAAAAGAACUUCUGGAUUUUGUUAGCUGAUCUAUGGUAUGAAUGAGAAGCACGAGGCCAAGAGGGAUCCACAGCAUGCCCACAGGCACAAGUUAGAAGAAGGGAUUUGGGGCAGCAGCUUCAGUUCAGGAUUCCAUAAGCAUCUUGAGGAGAAAAAUGCCAAGAAAGAAGAAGAAAAGGCCGAGGGAAAGCACCACCACCACCAUCGAUUUUGAACAUUAAUGAUGGGAGUUCCUUCAAGUUUCUUCCUAGUUUACGUUCAGUUUUAUACUUUUACAAGAAAUUAUUAUGUUUAGUUUUUGGUCCAAAUAUUAAAAGAAAAAUAAAAGUGAUGUUAAUCUAUCUUCGUGAUUUGCUCCUGAUUUUGCUGGCACCCCAGGUGACUUAGUAAAUUUGUUAAUCGAAAGGAUCUUCUCAAUUGAAGAUACGACAAACAAAUUUAGAAAACCCGACUUUUUCAUGGCUCCAUGCACGUGUAAAAUUCCCAUAAAAUAAAAAAACAGUUCAACCUGCUAGAGAAAUAAUUUUGAUGGUUUUUGCGACAUGUACAUAUUUUUCAAAUCUGUACAUAUUUUUUUUUUCUCUUUUUAAGAGUAAGUUCCAAAGAUUGUUUGACGAACUUUUUGUGAAAUACAUUGAUAAAGACCUCAGGUACUAUUUUGUACAAGUUUUUGAGUUUGAACUUCCUUAUACUAUUUCAUUUACUCCAAAAAAAUUCUUAUAGUUACACCUAUACAUAUAUAGUGCAUAAAUUACUGAGCAAAUUUCCAAGAUAAGCAUAGGCAAAGGUAAAAAUCACUAAAGACUAUUAUAAUGUGAUUUCCAAGUGUUGAGAGCUACUGCAUCUACUGCUCUAUCGUGCUGAUCAUUGACCAACAAUAUGUGAUUGUAAUCAUGAAUAAUCUUCUCCUCACUAGGUAAUUGUUAUGUCUCAAACAUAACCACGUACUCUAGAAUACUUCGUAUAGAAUAAAGUCAAGUCUCCACAAUCCCGUGCGCAGGAUUUCUAAUGAAUUUGAAGGAUAAAGUUUGCCCCUGCGAUUGUGCAAAUGUUAGACGUGAAUGCAUGAAAAAUUUGACACCUGUGGACACAGGCAUGUCUUAAUUUGAACCUUUGAACCUAGUUGCUUUAUGGUAAAUGAUCAAGUCGUUCAAGCAAAUCUAAAGUCACUAUCCUGUGACAAAAAUGUUGUCUGGAAUCGGACUAUGAUGUAAUGGAAAUAUCACAAAAGUUAGAGCUAGAAAGGGUCUAAUUCCAUUGUGCAAGAAAUUAGACCCCAACUGCCUUAUUCACAUUGUCUAUCAGGGUAAAACAUUCUAAGUUGAUUCGGAUGAAAAAUGGAUAGAAAAUAUCAACCACGAUAUGAGGCUAAUGAGUGCAUGAUGUGUAACAUAUCGUAGAAAGAUGGCAUUACAAUGACCUAACAAACUUCAACAUCAAGAAAGCCAAAAUGAACGAGACCUGCCCGCCCAAUCUCAGAACCAAGAAAUGAAGAGGUUCCUGCCCUUCCAAUCCCUGUUUUCUUUAUUGCCAGAAGAACGUGGCACCAUGAUGGCGGUCCACAAAGAACAAAUGUACAUAGCUGAAAAACACAGCCCAGUUAACGACUUCACAAGCUAUAAACUAGCUUGUUGUUAUCAUGGGACAAGCAUUGAUUAUUAAAGCAACACGUAUUUUAUGCCAAGAUAUCAGCAACCACAAAUCUUCAUGACAUUAAAGCCGCUAUGCCCUACCCAAGGCACCAACUGUCCAUAAUUGUUGCGGUUGAUUUCGAAUCCAAUAUCCUUGCGUGGCUUUUUUUUAUAAGAAUUAAUAUUAUAUACAUCAACAGCGUAUAGAUUUUUUUACGUUGAAAGGUAUAGAUACAUGAUAUAUAAAUAAAAAGUGAAUUUAAAUUUUGAAUAGUGAUGAUAUAACAUAUCUAAACUUUGUGUAAAAAAAUUUUUACGCUAUAAAAAUUAUUCCCUUUUCUUAAUUGCUUACUUGAUUGGUAUUGGCAAUGUUUUGAAAAUCGGAUCGGAUCGCGAACUGGUCGGAGCUUCGAUUCGGUUCAUACUUUCGGUUAACUAGACUUAAAAAUCAGAUUGAACAGUUGAACCGGUAGUUUUUUUUUUUUUUUUGUCUAUUAAAUUGAAAAAAAAUUAAAAAAAAAAUAGGUUUUCUUUAACAUUAAAGACUAAUUAUUAAAUGUCAUAUCCACUCACUUUCUUUUCAUUUUUUGCCUCUUAUCAAGUUUGUAUCUAUAUGUUCUAUUUUCCUAACUUUCUCCAAACUCCAAUCUUCUUAUUUUUUUAAGUUGCAGUCUUUAAAUAUAAAAAAUGUGAAUUAAAAUUUAAACUCACAAUAUCUAAUUCCCAUAGACGUGAAUUUUGUAUAAUUUUAGAAUAUUGUGGUAUUUUUGGGUUGAAUAUAAGAUUAUUUUUUUGGUAAAUUCAAUCAAAAUUGAGAUAAAAUUUAUUUGUUUCAACUUAUAAUUUUAAAAAUUUAUUUGUGAAAAUCCAAGUACUUUGAAAAAUUUUAAACUUUUCAUCAUAUAAAGUCUUAAAUUAGUCCAAUGCAUUCUUAUUUUGUGCAUAUAUAUUUACAUAAAUUAUUUUUAAAAAAAUUUAUUGAACCAUGGUUAAACCAGUCCGACCGGUUGAAUCUCGACCUGAACACUCCAUCAGUUCAAUCAACGGUCCGAGUUUCAAAACAUUACUAUGUGGGGAUGUUUACUUCAACAAUUAUUCAUAUGAUUAAUUUUUAGGAUUUCAUUUUGAUCUACAACUCAUUAUCUAUUCACUAGUCACAUGUUUGGUUGUACCGUUGUAACUACUAACCAACAACUAUGGUGCUCGAGAUCUUGUGAUUUGUGAACAUAUCAACAACUUUAGUUUUUAAUUUUUUGUAACUAAUGUAAAAUUUACGGCCCUUAUUAUACUGCCUAUAAAAUUCUAAAAUAUAUUUCCAGUGAAAGAAGAAUCUUUCAGCAAGUAGGAUAACAUUAAGAGAACUAGAAUGGUUCUGGCUGUGCAAGGCACAGCCAAUGCCCAAUCUAUUGUGUAACAAAUAUUGAAAAAUUCCUUGUCACUAUUUAUUUUUAAACUUGGGCACAAUUGUAUCUAAUUCUUAUUCUAAAUUAGAAAUAAAUUACCCAUUUGAAAAGGUUCAAAAUUCUCAUCAGACUAAAUAAUCAUUCCUCUCAAUGCAAUAGCACAACCAAUUCCCAACUUAUUGUGUAGAAAAUAUAAUUCAGAGCAACUAAAUUGUAAGUAGUGAGAAUUCUUAUGUAGAUGUAUAUAAUGUAAUAAGGUGUUUACCAUAACUCACGCCCACCUAUUAAAAUUGAAGAAAUGUUGAUCCUAACAAUAUUAGCUAUGAACAUUAUUUUUUAUUUUUAUUAAUUGAAAUACCAACCUAAAUACUGUUAUUAUUUGCUGUUCUUUUUUCUUUUUAAGUUUAAAAUUUUUUUAAAAGCAUUUUUAGGCUAGAGGAUUAAAGUUUUAGUUGAAAAGAAAUCCGAUAUUAGAGAUUCUUGUAGAAAAUUUUAUUAAGUUCAGUGAUUUUGUGGUAUAAUUGAAAAACUUUUGUGGAUUGCUUGCGUCAUUGGUCAUCAGGUUGUAAACAUAGCAUGCCAAAUACAUUCACUUGCAAGAUGUGGAAAAUAUUAAGUGCGUAAUCAUACUUAAAAAUGGGGCUAAAUUUGUAUUAAAAGUUUAGAAGAACACAUUCAGCUACACUGAAACUAAUAAAAUAGGAAAAAAAUGAAUUUUGACAAUCAAAACCAAGACUAAAUAGUCCAAGAAAGGGGGAGCAAUGAAAAAGAAAGGAGGAUUAUUUGACCCAACAUGCAAAAAAUAACCCUUAAUAGUUACCUACUGUUUUGAGAAGAUGUUAUAUCUGGUAAGGCAAAAUUGUCAUGAAAUGGUAAAAGACAUACAAGCCCCUUAACAGUAGUUAACUGCUUAGUCCAGAAAUUAAAUUUUGGAGGGCAUUGUUGGCAAAAGACAGCUGCUACAGUACACUCCAGCUCCUUCUUUUCGUUUGUUGAGAGGAAAAAGAAAUAGACGGUAAAGAAAUAGGAAUGAAGCAGAAAAAUGGUAGGCUAAAAGUCAAAAGAAGCGGAAAGUGAUACCGUAGAGGAAGAAGGGAAAGACACGGAAGAACAGGAGGAGAGGUGCAGGUGAAAAACCAAAAUUCAGCCCAAAUAGUGAGCUACUAUUCUGAACGCCUGUUAUGUCUAGAAGGACAAACACGUAAUUUUAAGUAAAAGGACAAAAAUGCCCUACAAUAGUCACACACUGUUUAGACCAGAAUACACUUUAUGAGGUUAUUGCUGGAAAACAAAAAACACAGUAGCUGCUCUUCUCCCAUGUUUUGCAACGUGGAUCAACGCGGGAGAAGAAACCUUAGGUUUUUAUAUAUAUGUAAGAUAUUCAGAACCUGUCUCCAAUUAUUGUGGGCCAGGCUCCCCUAAUCAAGUGAUUGUCUUUUGAUAAAUAAAAAGUGAUUAUCUAAUAAUUACUCAUUGGAAUUUAAACCUUGCCGACACCGGAAAUUCAUUGAUUAAGUCCUAACACAAUGGAGGGUGGGCACCAGCCGGGGUCAAGAAAGCGACGACGCCGCAUUACUUUUUACAUGAAAAUCGCGAAAGCCAAAUAUUAAAGUCGUGUGGCAUUAAAAGCGGAACAUGACAUUUGUUAUGAACUUAGUGGUCCAAUCAGGUUUCUUGUUGAAGAUUUUUCUUUACCCUUUUUAUCCACUCGAGAAAGGAAGGUUUAUAUGGAAACAAAAGUGUCUCUUUCUUGAAAUGGUAAUUGGAUAAGGAGAUUUUUCUAUUAAUAAAUUACCUGAUUUUCAAUCUAGUUAUCCAUUGAGAUUAUUUGGUGCUUAAUUGACUAUAAUUUUCAAAAGCAAAAUAUUUAUUAAGCUUUUGGGAACCCCGAAUGGAAGUAUUAAGCAAAAUAUGAUUUUGGAAGUACUUUCUUUUUUUUUUUCUUAAUGGAAAGUGAUGAUAUUGGAAAAAAGAAUACUUGUUGAUGUUCUCCAAAACAAUUUUCGAACUGUUUCUAUUAUGCCUUCUCGAAGUAGUCUAGCUGUGUAAGUGGGUAAAAAUUUACACAUAUUAUACCUAGACGUUCUUAAUGAAAUCGUGAUGCUAUGUGCAACUUCAAUUUUUGAGAAAUUUUGAUCUCCAGCAUAUUCUGUAACACCAAGAAUUUCUUAGAUCAAAUGAUUUCAAUAGUACCUUUUUUUUUUUUGUUGAUGGAAAGCGAUGAUAAUGUUCAACGAGUUGCUAAUUUGAAUUGAAGGGUGACAUAAAAUUGGUGUACUUUCUAUACUAUAUCCAUAGUUAAUGCAAUUAUCAUGAUUUUAGCAGCUCCACCUCCAUAUCACAUGAUGAAAUUAAGAUUGGUUUGUUGAGUGUUGUUCGAUUUCACAUGGUAGUUCCCACUUGCCAUUCGUAAGAGUCAAAAUUUUGAUCAGUAUCAAUUUGAAUUAAAAAGUUCACAAUAGUUUGUGAAUGAAUCGUUAUAUUUCCCAAAGCUACCAGUCAACAAAGUUGCUUCAUCCUCCAAGGCAAUAAAAUUCCGUGAAUUUGCAACAGUUAAAACACACAGUGGGUCUAUGUUGAAACCUACAGCAGGCCUUCAUUUAUUUUUGGGAUGAUUUCAGAAACCUCAUGGGUAAUUUCAGAAACCUCCCAUGAGGUUUCGGACAAUUUCACUCACUUCCCUUUAGGUUUGAAUAAUUACACUAAUCUCCUUCAUGUAGUAAAAUGACUAUAAUAUCCUUCAUUUAUAAAUGAUUUCUACAAAAAAAAAAAAAUCCCUACAACUAUAAUUAGUCUUUCAUUUUAAGUCAACAGCUACCACACAAUAUAAAUUUUUAUUCUCUCUCUCUGACUCUUUUUCCUAUCUUCUUUCUCCUACACCUCAUAAUCCACUAUUUUUUCAAAAUUGCCAGUUACAUAAUGAUCUAAUACAUUUUAAAUCCUCAUUAUUAUGGAAAUAAAUCCUCUCUCCCUUUUUUCGUUUUCCUUUAUUUUAAGUAUUAUUGAAUUGAAAUUGCCAAAUGACAAGUUGUCGAAUCAGAUUUGUUGUCAAGCUAAAUGAAAGUAAAAAGGAUGGCGGUGAUACAAAGUAUAGACAAGAAAAUAAAAGUGAUAGCUAAAAAGGGAAUAUGGAUUGAGGAAGGUUACGUUAUUAUGCCAAUUAUGUAAAAAAGAAUUUUAGGAUAUGAAAACUGCAAUCAGAUUUACCUAAAAGACAUGGGAUAUGGUCUCUAGUGCUGUUUUUGGUUGCUCCGUAUUGGUAUUCUUGGUUCAAGCACUGAAUUUAGGCAAAAAAAAAAAAAAAGACUAAAGAUUAGGUUGAAUGCAAACUUUAAUUGUCAUAGUUGAUUUGCAUGGGAAGUUUUGGGGGGCAUUAGUAGGCUAUCAAAAUUGUGAGAAUAUGAGAAUUAAGUUGAAGUGGUUUAUUGAGUUCAUUAAGUGGCGAUUAUGUCGUUUACACUAGUUACAAUGUAGAAAAAAAAUUUAUUUGUGAGUUUUCCCCCCUUCUAAGCAGCAAAGGGGUAUUUUAGGAUUUUUUAGAAUAAAUUUAGCAUACUGGGUCUAUGUUGUUACUAAAAUGCUAAUCAUAAGGGAGGUAAGUGUAAUUUUUUAAAUUAGAGGGGAACAUCCUGAAAUAGUCAGAAACCUCAAGGGAGGUUUCUAAAAUUAUCCCUUUAUUUUUUUCCUCUUUUUCAUCACUUUUAAAAAUGAAACAUCAUAUAAUUGUCAAUUGAGUAACCCCCCCCCCCCCACCCCAAAAAAAAGAAAAGAAAAAGAAACUUCAUAACUAUACGUGCACACGUGAAAAAUGUUUUGUCAUUUACUCAUGGUACAAAUGUAAGAAGUUUUCUAGAAAUAGUAGACAGGCAAAAUUACGAAAAUAUUAAUACAAGGGUCUGCUAAUUUAACUUUCUCUAAUAUCUGUCACUAGUUGCAUGUGGACGUUAAAGCAGCACCGUGCAAUCACAAUCAAAGACCUUAUCUUAUUCCCUCGAAUUUACCUUAAUCUCAUCUUAUUACUGUAUUCAGAGGUAGAAAAUAGAAGGUCUCUAAUGUCCAUCAAUCAGAGCAACAAUCGUGCGUAGAUAGAUAUAACUAGGAGAUGACAGCACAUUCUAUUAACCAAUUAGUGCCAAAAUCCCACGAUCAAGACUUAUAAAUACAUCUCCCAUCUAAAGGCUAAACCAUCAGUCAUAGCAUCAACAAUAUAUAGUCAUUAUCCAGCCAGUUAAUUCAAUUUCCCUAGAAAAAAGUCAUCCUCAGAACCAUCAUCAUGGCGGAGGAGGAGAAGCACCACCACCACCACCUUUUCCACCACAAGAAGGAGGGGGAGGAGGAGAAUAUAGUUGAUGAGGCAGCAGCUCAUAAAUAUGAGAAAGAAGAGAAGCACCACAAGCAUCUUGAGAAGGUUGGGGAGCUCGGUGCUGCUGCUGCUGGAGCCUACGCCUUGGUAAUUAACAUUUCCACAUACUCAAUUCAUGAAUGCUUGUCCCUUCUUUUUUUUUUUUUCUAAAAAAAAUCAUAUACAACUUCCCCUCCCUUUUUUUUUGAAUUUCGUUUUUGGGUUUUUUGUUGUCUGGGUUUUUAAUAAAACCAUAUGGGGAUUGAUCAUGAAUUUUACUUAAUUUGAUAAUUUCUUACUUUAAGAAAUUUUUAGUUUUUUAAUAUUUAAUCUGAGAGACACAAGUAUAUGGGAUUGUCCAAAGAAAUGGUGAUGGGAUCCUGUUGUUAAUGAAAUUGCGCCUAGCUUGUAAUAUGAUCCUCUUUUUAUUUUAUUUAUUUAUUUUUGUUUCAUGAUAUUUUUUAAUUUUUGCCAUUUAUAGUAAAGUCAAACUCAAAUAUAUUGAUUGUAUUAGCAGCAACCAAAUAUUUCAUGAUCUCUUUCUCGGUCAAUCUACUGGAUGCUAGGGUAGCGCAGGUUGGAAUUUGUAACAGUUCUAAGAGAUACAUAUAACAGAUCAGUUAAUUAAAUGGGGAGGAUAUAACGAAUUCAUAUACUCCUUCACAAAUUUGGAUCCUCUUUUUAACUUAAGAUCCAAAAUUUCCUUAAUGUUGAAUUCACCUUUUUCUUUCUUUUUUUCUCAAUUGUUUAUUGGUCUUAAAAAUUGGAUUUUCAAAUUGACAAAAAAAAAAAAAACAAAGGAAUUGGGGAGCGCGAAAAUAAAGUGAUAACUAAUCGGGGUAGUAAACUCUAGCUGAAGAUCAAAAUUCAACCCCAUUUUCCAAUCAAUUGAUCUGACAAUAUGUGUGUAAAAUCAUUAAGAACUCGGUAAGAAAAUUUUUUCGAUUCUUGGUUAAUUAAUUCCCCUUGAUGAUUUGUAAUUGAUUAAAUUAAAUGGCAGCACGAGAAGCACGAAGCAAAGAAGGACCCUGAGCAUGCCCACAGGCACAAGAUAGAGGAAGAGAUUGGUGCAUCACUUGCAGUUGGUUCUGGUGGAUUUGCACUCCAUGAGCACCAUGAGAAGAAAGAUGCCAAAAAAGAAGAGGAAAAAGCCGAGGGAAAGCACCAUCACCACCUCUUCUAGCUGCCCCGCCCCCCUUCUCAAAAUAUGCAUUUCCUUUUAUAUUCCAAUGUUAUGUGUGUUUUUCUUGAAGAGGGAUCCUGGCCUGAAUAAUUCCGUGUGAAUAUGCCUUGAGAAUACCUUUAUGAAUUGGCUGAAAUCUUUGGAUUUUGGUCAAUUUGAUCUUAACUAUUGUUGCUGCUAUAUAUUUAUGUGAUGUAUUGUUGUUCAGAUUUCAUACUUGUGAUGGAUUAUCAUCUCAACUAUUGGACAUGGUUUUUCUGCACUUUGUGAUGACAAGCUUGAUUAGCCUGUUUGAUCUUUCUUUCAACUUUCUUUUUUUGGGUGAAAAUAUAAUUCAAUGGAUAAGAUAUCUUAAUACUAGAAUUUUUGAGAAAACCAUUUUCUUUGGUUUGAUUAACCGUUUAACUUUUAUGGCAAAAAAUAAAAAACUUUUUAUAUGUGAAAUUUGAACUCUAGUUAAUUAGACAUCAUAACACUAGAAUUUGACAAUCUCAGCAGCUAUUUGAAAUUUUAUUUUUAUGUGUAAAAAACAUCCCUAUUUGUUAGAGAAAAACAAAAACUAUCAAAUACGUUUUGAUUAUGGUACUUUCUACAAGAGAAUUCAUAUUCUCCUCCAAUUUUUCUGACAUCCUACAGCUUAAGCAUAUUUCUCCCUGUUUGUAAUUAAUUUUUUCAUACUAUCAAGGUUAUGGAAAAGAUGGGUUUUGGAAUUCCCACUGUCUGAAUUUUUGUUUUGGGUCUCUAUAAUACCUUCGUAUCCGAAAAUUAGCAGUUCCACUGGUUAGUCCUCCAGCCUCCAGGCCCCAAAUAACUCAAUUUUUCUCCCACGAAAUUCACAAUUUGGUUCUGUGGUCGACUUUUAUCUGUGAAUUGACAAUAUUUGAGAAGCCACGUAUAAGGCUCUUCUUCUUUUGGAUCCAUAUUUAUGUCCAUAAAAGUUGGAUGGUCAUCCUAAUUGAGUGGUCGUAGGCUCAUUCCCUUGUAGAUGUCUAAGCUAAUCUAGUGGCCCAUAGAUAGUACAUAACUAUUUUUAUGUCCUUCAAUUUUCUUUGACCAAAAAAAAAAAAAAAAAAAAUUGUCUUGAAAGAGGGUCUUUUGUUGUCAAUAGAUUGUCCUAUUUCUUUGUGCUUAGAAGAGAUUGUGAUUUAUUUAAUUAAGCAAACAUGACAACAAGCAACAAAAUGAAUGUGGGCUGAGGAAUGUCGUCAAGGCACUAAUCAACAUUGCUUGACCAUAUUUAACUAGUCAAGACUCUAUUUACUUUUGAGUUCCUCGCGCGUUAUUAUGCUUAUUGAUGAGUAUGAUUCUCAAGUAAUCACCAACCAGCCGCUACUUAGGCCUUGUUCUUGGUUGAUUUAGAUCUUACAAAAUUUGAUUAUAGAAACUGAUUAUAGAGAAUUAUCAGAAUAAGUAAAAGCUUUUCUUUGAAUGAUUAUAUAGAUUUUAGCUUUUUUAUCAUUAAAAAAAAAAUCUACAAUUAGAAUACAAAUGUAAUCGAUAACACCAAAAAAAAAAAAAAACUGAUUAUCUAAAAUUAAAAUUUACAAUCAGUUAAAAUAAUCAAUCGAGAAAAUCAGAUUCACACAAGGAGUUACAAAGACAUUAAGAUGACAACGUUAUUAAAGGAUAUGUACCAUAGUUAUUAAAUCCGGUCCGAUCCGACGGUUCAACCAGUCAACCCAGUGAACCAGCCAUAAAACUUCGUUUCUACAUUCAAUUGACUUUUCAAGUAAUUCUUGUCACAGUUUUUUGGGUAGGAGUAUUUGAUCAUUAAUGUGCAUAGCUUACAAUCUGAAUUUGUUGAAGGAUAUGUAUAAUAAUCUGAAUUUGUUGUUGUUUCCUAUGUUCCCUCAGAGUUUAAAGAUAAUAGUGACAUGAAUUGUAAGUUCGGCGUCUAUACUUUUGAGCAGUUAUCUUGAUGAGAAAUAAAUUAACAGUGUUCCCAUUUUGUGUAUUGUAAUUGGCCUUUGUUCAAUAUAUAUUGCAAAGUUUUACUGAUGUUAAUACAGAGUUAUCAUUUCGGAAAGAAAAAUAGAGUAUUAUUUCUCAAGUAAUGAAUUCCUAUUGGAUAACAUAGCAAGUAAACUCUUAUGAAUGGUGAUCAUCAACAAUAAAGCUCAAAAUCGAAUCAAGGAAACCCGUGUUCAAAGCAAAAUCGAUUCCAAAGAGAUCAUCUAAGACUGGUUCAUAAACCAUUAAUUGAAAUAGAGUCGAACAAUAUUUGUUGUUCGUCAAGGUUUUAAACUGAACUUGAUUACAACAUGAUAUGCACAAAAUUUGAAGUUUAGGCCUAAAUAAUACGACAAUCCAAGUUCUGACUCUGCAAAAUUGCAGUGGUAUAGUGGUCAGGACCAUGGGUCCUCUUUCAGCAAAUCGGCUAUGGUCCAUAAGAAACAAGAUAUCCUUUUUUUUUUUUUUGAUAAAACAAAAUAUCCAUAUUUGAACCCUAUCCCAAUAGAUUUCACAAGCAUUAAAGUAGUAUGAUUUAAACAAUCAUCCCAUGCCAAAUCUUAGCAGCCACAGACUUUAACCAGACUGGCCUACUCAAGUCCAAUCAUGCCUGUAGAACUUGAAUGUACAACCAAUUUUAAUUUUUAAACCUCAAUUUUGGUGGCGUUUCAUCAUUGGUGCAAAGAUAUUUUUGGCUCAAUGUUUAUAUUCGUACAAGAUAAAUACGGAGUGGGGUUUCAAAAAAAAGAAUCCGAAUGCACGGUUGACAAGAUGAGAAUACCUGCAAAGCAUUAUUAUAAGGGUUAUUAUCACUUUAUCUCCUUAAACUAUAUUAUAUUAUCAAUUUCCCCCCUAACGUUAUCUUUUAGUCACUUCACCCCCAUAAGUAAUUCAACUCAACAUGUUAAGAAAUUUUGGACAAAAAUAUCCUUUUAUUCUAUAGCAUUACUACAUUGUUAUUAUUACUCUAUUCCUUUAAAUUAUAGUGAUAUAAUUGCUUUAAUUCCUAAUAUUAUUUUCUAAGCAUUUUAUUUCAUCGUUAAUCUAACUAGUAUGGUCAAAAAAUUUUAAACAUAUUUACCCUUCUAUAUAUAAUUAAAAAUAAAAAAGUUUGAAUGAUUAUUCUUCUUUUUUUUCACUUUAAGAGAUCCAAAAAUAUAAAAAUAAAAUAUUUUUUCAAAUUUAUUUUUCACACUUAUUAAUACUAGGAAAAGAAAAAGAUAUAGGAAAGAAGGAGAUAGCAAAUUAGAUUUUGCAAAGAAAAAAAUAAAGAAAAAUCUAACAUUAUUGCAUUAAUUUAAGAUUAUUGGGAUUAGAAUUGAAAUCUGGUGGUAAACAGUAAAGUAAAAUAAUUUUAAAAUAAUAAAAGUAUUUAAUUCUUUCUUAUUUGUAUUUUUAAAAAAAAAAAGAAUUGAGCUCUCUCUCUAUCUCUCUCUCCCUCCACCUCACCAUCUUUUUUUAAAAAAAAUAUUAAUAAGAUUGCCAAGAAGAAAGAAAUUAGUACUUUGACUUUUUUUCUUGAUACUAAAGAGGAGAAGAGCCACUCUAAAUUUUUUAUUAUUUUUAUUAUACAAAGAGGAGGGUACUUUUUUCUAAAGUUUUUUAACUUGCUAAAUUGGUUUAAUGGUGGGAUAAAUUGUCUAAAAAAUAAUUUUACGGGUAAAUUGAUAAUGAGACCAUAGUUUAUGGGGGUAAAGCGAUAAUAACUUUAAGGGCUAAACUUAUCUUUUCACUUUAAUUAACAAAUUUCGUUAAAUUUGACCGUUAGUUUUGGGGGUAAAGUGACUAAAAGAUAACGUUAAAGAGAAAAUUGAUAAUGGCAUCUAACAUUAAGGGGUAAAGUAAUAAUACCCCUCAUUAUAAGAACAUUUUAAGCAAUUGAAAAGUUCUGUUCGUCCCAAGAAAAAAAAAAAGUAAUGUAUUGUAAAGUAUUGAGUUUGGAUGGACCAAUGAUCAAAUGAAACACUACUACCCAAGAAAUUGUAAUUUGUAUCAUCAAUGCACAUUAUUUCUUGGUCACUGGUCAGGACCAUCGGUCCUCUUUGCGCAAAUUGGCUAUGGUCCAUAGGAAACAAACUACGUAUAUUUGAACGCUGUCCCAAUUAGAUAUCACAAGCAAUAAAAUAGCAGUAGUAUGAUGUUACUGGCAUUAUACAUACAGGCUUACCUAAAUACAUCGUUGAAGCAUCGAUUUAAAGUUUUAAAGACGCAUUUCAUGCCACAUGUUAGCAGCCACAGCUGUGCAUGACUUUAAUUUAAACACAUCGACCUAACCAAAUAAAUUAUGAAUAACAUACCUAAAUCCCAUCUAAUCUAUCAUAUAUACACACACAUUAACAACUACUAUCAUUUCUUACAUUUAUACACUUUUUCUAAUUAAUUUUAUUUUUUAAAAAAUCUAACAUUUGAAAUACAUCUUAAUGAGUGCUCUUUGACACACCUAAAUUCCAUAUCAUAUACAUACACACAUUAAUAAUUAUUAGCCUUCUUUACAUUUAUACACUUUUUUUAAUUAAUUUUAUCUUUCUAAAAAUCUAACAUCUGAAAUACAUUUUAACAAGUGUUCAUUCAACACUCAUUAGACAGAACCAUAAUAAAUCAUUGGUCAUGCGUAGGAAUUGGAGUAACACAUAACAUGACAAAUCUUGACAAAAAGGAAGAUAAUUGAAUAACCCAUAAGUGCUAUCAAAUCAUGCCUUAAAACCAAUUUGUUUUGCACUGAUUGAACACAACUUUCUUUUUCUCUGCAAAGUGAACACCAGAAUCAAAGAAGAACCUUCCUCCCCUCCAGCAGUAUAAUCCUGAAACCUGAUGAUUGCUGUAGUAUGUAGGCCAGGCUUAUCUAUAGAUGUCAGUAUUUAAUUGCUUAUAUAGCAUGCUAUCUUGGCCGACACUUGAAUUCGGACGCCUGUGGUCACUAACUGAGUAGGUAUGAUUAGAUGAUUUGGAAUCAUACGAUCUGUAAGAAGCCUAGUUUUGGCCUUUAUAAUUUGUAGAUGCUUUUUACUCUAAUAAUUUGUAGAAUGAAAGAAGUAACAAUAACUGCAGUUGGGUUUUAAGAAGAUUAAGAACUAAAACCUCUUUGAUCCGGGAUGAGCCUUUCCUUCUAACCUAUUAUAUAACUCAUCAUGAGUUGCUGGAUUCCCUCCUUGUGGCCAAUUUUUAAGUCUGCUCACAAAUGACAUAAGUAAUAACUUCCUCUACAAGGGCACUCUAAUUAGUAAGAACUAUACCUGGCAAUUGGGCGGGUUGGGCGGAUUUUGGGCGGGUUAAUGUUGGGUUUUCAUUUAAAUGGGUUACACCCAACUCGCCCAACUUUAGAGUGGGUUAAUUUUGGGUUGGGUCAUAUUGGGUUAUCUCAAACCCAUGACCCAAAUAUGACCCAAUAUAUUAAUUAAUAUAUUUUGAUGCAUAAACUCUCUCAAAUACAUUUUUACAUACAAAAAAAAAAAAAUUCACACACAUAAACACAUUUUCACAUAGAUACACAUAAUUUUACACACUAAAACACUCAUAGACACAAAAUAUACUCACUUCUUAAGCUAUUUUGAAAUAUGUUAUUUUUACACAUACAAACACAUUACAAUACACACUAAUAUACUUUCACAAAUACACACACAUACUAACUAUUUAAACUACUUGGAUGAACUCACUAUUUUUUAUACAAGUAAGGAUUUUCAAACUGGGUAUAGCUUUGGUCCAAACUAAGAGAUAUUUUAAAACUCAAAUUCUUAUUUAUUAUUGCAUGGGACACAUGUCAAUCAACUAAAUAAUGUAACGAGUGUAACGGAAAAAAUUAUAACAAAGAAUCUCUUGUCAAAUAAUUAGCUUUCAAUAAACCAUAUCUUUAUAAUUUCAACAUUUAGCAUAAAAAUCUUUAGUGAAAGGAUUAACAAAAAUUUGGCUAUUACUUCAAUAUUUAAUCGCUCCAUAAACGAAUUUUUACAACACUUGUCUCAGAAAUGUUUAUUGAUAUAUAUUUGCCAUAGGGACGACUCUCGGUCAACUAGUCAUAGGCUGAUGAUUCUUGCUCUACAAUAGCAGAGGUCAAAUUACGUUUAAAUGAUAAUUGCUAACCCCUUUACUAAACCAUCAAAAAGUCCAACCAAAAUACAGGGAACUUACUCAAAAAAUUAACACUUUUUUUUUUUGCCCCGGGUUUUUUUGGGGGGGGGGGGGGUGGUGGUAACACUUUUGUACACAAGAAUGUCUUUUUCCAUGUGUCAACAGGAUGGGUUAUACUUGCAUAAAAAACAUACAAAGAGGGAAAAGUUGGGUAAUGGGUGCCCAACACAAAUACCCAAACCGCCCAAAAUAUAUAUGGAUUUUUAUUACCCAACCCAAAAUUUACCCAAUACCCAACUUACCCAACCCAACCUCUUAAAUUAGUGGGUGGGUUGGGUGGGUUGUUGGGUUUUGGGUAUAAUUGCCAGCUCUAGUAAGAACUGUGCAUAAUAAUUAAUAAGGUACUGGCAUUAAUAGAAGACCAAAAGAAGAAAAUAAAAAAAAAGGAAAAAGAAGCAGUAAAAAAAAAAAAAGAACUAUACAAACAGUUAGCAGCAAGCUUCAUUUCAUUAAAUAAUUAGAUAAAACUUAUCAACCCCUAUAAAUAUGGCUUUCCAUUUACAACCUAAACUACCAAUUGCAUGGUAGAAUCAGGAUAUCAAUCACCCCCAUAAUUGAGUUGCUGCAGUAGCUGUUAGUAUAUCGCUUUUUUCUAUCAAUCCCAUGGCUGAAGGGCGCCGCCGCCGCCGCCGCCACCACCACCACCUUGGGGAGGAUUUUGAGACCGUUGAGGUGAAGCACGAUUUUUAAAGUCUUUCAUUAACGAGUUCAUAAUACUUAUUACAACAUCUUAGAGAUCAAAUCAUACGUGGAUAAUUACAACUCUAAAUUAAGUUACCCAUCUCUUUCUCCACCAGAAGUGGUGUCAUUUUAUACGAUUAUUAAGAACUGAGGAUAACAAUAUAAAUUAGAGUUCUUGAAUUUCAGAGGUGAGAUUUGCCGUCAAGUGACUAUGUACGUUUGCAACUUUUAUAUGAGCUUAAUUGCUAUUCACAUGUAAUUUUUCGUCCCACAAUAGAUGACAUUACCUCCGCCGAUAAAAUCAGAAGUUCCCAGCCAUGGUGCUGGAUUCCAUUGUAAUGUUGGAGAUAUGGAUGUUACAGGCGAAAAGGUAUCUAACUUAUGAAUACUAAUAUCGCAUUCCCACUCUGAUUAGAACUGGAUAUCUUAUAAACAACUUGUCUUUGCAAAUUCCAUGUUUUUUAAUCUAUUAUUUGUUCGUUUCUUUACCCUGUGGCCUGCGUUUAUUUGCUUAUAGUUGCUUAUAAUUUCUUACUGGCAUCUAGUCACUUCAAGCUUGUCACUUGAACUUCUACCCUGUCGUUUCUUUAAUUGGCUUAAUUUUGAAUGUGAUUAAUUGAUUUGAUGCUACUACAGAAAUAGGAACCGAAAAUCCAAAAACCUGGGAUGCCUUGUGGGAAUUUCCUUCUUUUCCAAUUUCUCUGUUUCCACAAAUAUGAUUAGAUAAAAGGCAAGAUAACAAGGAUUUGUGUAGCUUACAUUAGCGUUAGCGUUUUGCUUAUAGAACACUGAAAAUGUAAAACUUGGUUGAAUAAAAAUUUGAGCUAAUCGGAAAAAGUGCUUCAUGUUUAGAUACUAAUGCUUAGUCCAAAAUCCAAAUUCACCCAGCAAUAGUCACUCAUUUGGGAAAGUUCUGCUCAAUCUCCAUUGAGUAAUGCAAUUGUUUAAAAAAAAAAAGAUCUUUACAUUCGAAAAGAAAACCAAAAAAAAAAAAAAAAAAACACUUUUGUGACAGAUCGUUUUAUAGAGCACAGGACCUAUUGUAACUUGUAUUGCAAAAAAAUGAACUUUUAUUGGCGAAACUUUAUAGGUGGGUGUGGUAACCUCGAAAUUUUUAGUGUUGGCAAAGUCAACCAUAGCUAGAAUCAAUUUUGCUUUCCCCAAAUACCGAUCAAAAUGCAAUCAAUCAUACUAACCAACUAAUGAAAAAAAAAAAAAAAUACUACUAAAGCAAAAACCUGCCCCAGUAAAAUUAUAUCUAGCAGUAAAAUAAAGGUGUUUAUGGAUCACCCAGAAGACAACGAGAUAUUAUCACCAUCACAAAAGGGGAUGUACUACAGUAUCUCUCUCAAAAGCUAUGAGUUCAAGAGAAUUGGGCUUCGGUUUAAAAGGAUUUUACCAAAUAAAAAAAAAAUUUGUGGAUAUCAAAGGAUAGAUGUAAAGAGCUUGUUGAAGGCUUCGAAGUAGUCACAAUUCUACCUUACAUUAUUUGCUUCUGUGGCCCUGAAUUCCUAUCAAUACUCCUGCUUUUCAGUGUUGGCUAACGUUCUUGACAAUUUUCUUGUAUGCAACAUAAAGAUGCGUUCACUUAUCCUUGCCAUUGUUGAUUCUCACUAAUUCCAAUCAUUGUUGUAUAGGGAACAUUUUUUUGGUGAAGGAAUUAGCCACGUUGAGGUACCAAGCACCCAUCCUCACCAGUUACACGAAAGAUUUGUUGGUGUAUUAUGUGGAAAAUUUUUAUUGUAGCAAUAAUCAGUUUAGAUAGCGUGUUUUAGAAAAAUUUUUGUGAAAACGAUGUUGUAACAUUUUUUAUGACGUGAUAUGCUUGAGAUUAAAAAGUCGUUUGAAAGAUAAAAACAGUAAUUUAAAACCUUGUUUUAAAUUUAACGAAUUAACCAUCCUUCAUUGCUUUCUAGUGAGAUUAUCUCUUCCUAUUUGCAAAAGAACUUAAUUUUUUAUAUACCCCUUCAUUCUGGCCAGGCAAAAGAUUAUGAUUAUCGAGGGCGUGGACAAUUUCCUGGAGUUUUUACAGUUCAACCGAGUCUGGAAACUUAUGACAAGGUAUUUAACAUAUCAAUACACAGAAGCAGUAAUUUAUUCUUUACUGCAAUUGCUGAUUAAUUAGAAUUGCAUUGUUAUACACACCUUUUCUUCAUUAAUUUCUAUCUUUUCGAUCUAUUGUUCAUUUCUUUACCCUGGGUUACUGCACUUGCUGAUUGAUUAGAAUUGCGUUGUAGUUUCCAACUUUUUAAAAUUUUAUGUUGGCCAAAUUGUUAAGGAUUUGUAUAGUCAAUCUAGCUGCAAGAUUUCACGAAUAGUUCUCAAGUGAACAUACAGGUCACUGGUCACCAUGACAAUUUUGAUAGUCUUUCUCAAUUACCCCAUUUUAUUGACUGCUAAUUAAAAUAUCAACAGGGGAAAGACGAAGCAGAAGAAGAGACAGAUAAUGGAGAGCACCAGUACAAAAUAGGAGGAGAUAAUGUGAGCCCCAAUAUUAGCUUAACGUGUUUAUUAUUUUUAUGAAUUAAUCUUUCCUACACUGCCAGUAUAUAUACUCUCAGCAUUGGAUGAAUGAUAACUAUGCAAAAUUUGAAUUUGAAAUUUAACUUUUGCAUACAUAUCAUGAAUCAAAUGGUGAUAGUGUAUACACGGUCAGUGUAUAUAAGAUUUACUCUAUUUUUAUUGCUUCACACACACACACAUAUAUAUAUAAACAGGUUAGCUCCUCCAUUUAAUGCCUCUAGAAAGGGAAAUUCAAAUAUUAAAGUUAUUUCUUUCCAGCAUUUUUGAAUCUGUAAAUCACAAUUGCCUAGUUAAAUUCUAGCACUAUUCUCCUUUCAAUUGUGAAACUGAUACUUAAAUUCGCUAAAUCAUGGUUUUAGCUUAAUCAGACAGUCAUCUUUUCAUAUAUUCAUGCCUUAGAUUGACUUAACUCGUGGUGCUUCCGGGACUAGAACAGCAAGCCUCCCUUUUCAUUAAGAAAAUAAAGAAGAAUAUCAGCAACUUAAUGGCUAAACAUGAAUUUUUCAAACCCAAAAAUUAUAGAAUUAAUCUUUUAUACACUGACAGUGUAUACACCAUUAUUAUUGGAUGAGUGACAACUCAUUUGAAUUUAAAUUUAAAAUUCAAAUUUUACUUAUGUGUCAUGCAUCCAACCGUGACAGUGUAUACGCUGUCAGUGUAUAUAAGAUUUACUCAAAAUUAUAAGGUACUCAAUUAAUUUUAGAAUGGAAGUUACGUUUCUGUUCCACACCACCAAUCAAUCACUAGUAUAUUAAAAACGUUUUAUUUGAAUUUUAAGUAUCAAAUGGCAUAUUUUCUACUUUUUUUUUUCAUUUUGAUUUAGCAGUCUGAGAGCUGGUCAUUUUCAAUGUUCAAUUUUAGACUUUUCUUAGACAGCCAAGUGUAUAUCCAUGUAGCUAGGUCGCUAAUAUGGUCUGUUGGUGUAUUAUCGAUUAUGAGGAUAAAAAACAUAAAAUCAGAAUCUAUAAUCCUUUACUGAUUUACUAGUAAAUAAUGUCUUCUAGUUACAACAAGAACUCAUAUUCUCCACAUAUUUUCGUGUCCUCCACCAGGUAUUUGCAUCUGGGCCGAUCAAUCCUCCACCGGAUUUGUAUACGUAUGUAGAGGGUGGUGGACUUUCUGGAAUAGACGCCACAUAUGCCGCUGCAACUCUAGACCAGAAAAAGGCAAUUCUAUGAGAUCACCCACAAAAUUUCUUCCUAAAUUGAAAGCAAUAAAUGGCUGCUUCUGUUCGAAUUUCGUUUUGUUUUCUCAGCAGCUCAGAAAUUGUUCCUUGAGCUUAAACCAAACAUUUAUUCCAAAGACAAUCUUGUGAUAAAAGCCAUCAUGUCCUUUUUAAAACUUCCUUCUUCUUUUUUGUGAAAUCUCUAAAAAUGGAAAAUUUUUAGAUUUUUUUGAACUAAUUAAUCCCACAAUUAUUAAAUUUUCGUCAUCCUACUUGAUAUUCUUGUGUUAAUUUAUCUCUUUUGAUCUAUUUUAAAAUCUAGUUCAAGCCCUGUCUUAAUAUGAUUAGAUUUGGUCACUUAUUGAUAUUUCAAUUCCUGUCAUUUCCAUAAUAUGAAUCAUGAUAAUUUCAACUUCCUCCUGGACUAUCUUCCCUGAUAGAUCUUCUAGUUCUUGCUAAUUUCCUUUCGCUGAUUGAAUUUUCACCACAAUUUUUGCAGUAGAAGGACGAAACAAGUGCAGCAGAAGGAAACCAAAAAUGUACUUAGAGGACGAUGCCGCAUUAGUCUGCUAAGUUACCUGAGUAAUGGGUGUGGACUUGGGAAGUAAUAUGGUAUCGACUAUUGUACUGCCAAGAUAUGUAACCAGGAUGAUGAUGAUAUGAUGUAGUGCUUUUAUUUCUUGUCACGAAUAAUUAUCUCUACUACUUCUAGUAAGUUUGUAGAGCUUCUGAGUCUUGAUAAGUUAUGCAUGAACCUCGGAUUCAAAGCAAAUGACUGCUUUCGAAUAAGAGUUGUAAUUUCUUAAAAUUGGCAUUAGUAACUUUCCUUGAUAUUUUUGGGGGCCAUUUUUUGUGGAGAAUCGCCAUUUUCAUUUUGCAAGUGUUAAAAUUUAUGAAUUAGUCUUUGUGGAGAAUCACCAUUAACUUGAUAAGUUAAAGGAAAUAAUACCAAGUUAUAGAUAAUUUCAUGAAUAAAAGGACAAUAUUAUUAUUGCACUCAUAUUUUUUUAGGUAUUCCUAUCCUUAAUUAGUUUUUGUAGGGGAUGAAGUGUAUACAUUUAAGAUUGAGUGGCGGGGGAUGGGGUAAACGUGACUACCUGAAGUUCACGGGGAAAAGUGUUGUUAACCUUAAAGAAAUCUUUUCAGUUUUUCUCAUACUAUGAGUUGAUAAAUUCACUAGCCUUAAACUGGCUUCAACAAACAUAUGGAUUACCAUUUUUUAAAUUUUAUAUAUAAAAAUAUAUUAUAAUGAUUUGACAUAUAUGAAAUGUAAAACGGUAUUUGAAAAAUAUAAUUACGAAAAAAGUAAAAAUCCUUCUUCCAAAAACCUCAAUUCAAACGAGACCUUAAAUUUCUGCAAAGAAGAAUCUUCCACCGGCAGGAUGCCCUUGAAAGUUGAAACUUGAGAUGAUCAUUGUAGCCCUGGCCUAAUCUUUUUCUUAAAUAUCUAUUUCCUAAUAUAGCAGUCUUUGCCGACAGUUGGAAUUGGCACUUGUGGCCCCAAAUUUAACUACGUGCGCUUAUUUGGUUUUGUACACACAGACAGACAAGGGGUCCAAACAGUUAUCAGAAAACCGUUCGAAACGAUUUUGUAUAAAAUAUAAAAGAUGUAACUUUGUACGCACAUAGUGUAAUUCACUUUCAACAAUGUGUAAUUAAAGAAUAAAAUUUUGUGAAUCUCACACAUGAUGCGAAAAACGAUGUACAAGAUGAAACCUGUACCUUAUAUUUAUUUAUUUUUUGACCAAAUCUUGGUCAUAAAUCUUUAGAAACAGUUGCUUCCUGCAACCAUUCCUGCCCUCCUCCCACACACACACACACACACACAGAUUUAUAUAUAUAUAUAUAUAUAUAUAUAUAUAUAUAUAUAUAUAUAUAUAUAUAUAUAUAUAUAUAUAUAUAUAUAUAUAUUAGUUGGUUUUGGAAUAUAAAUAAUAAUGGUCUGUAAGAAUGCAAGUUGGCCUUUUAAUAUUCUCCAGAACGAAUGCCACUGGAUCGAACACGCAUGCUCCUUUGCAGAUUGUGCGAAUAGUGAUGUCAGAUUGUCUUAAAACCACUUUUAGUACACACAACGAAACAGGAUGUGAUCCAGUUUAACUAGCAGAGACAUUAACCAGAUGAUCUUAAAAUUCUUGGCUCAACAAAGACAAAUAAUAACUUGUCUUCUAGAAAAAUCAAAAACCAUACCCAACGAGUAUUAUGUAAUAUAUGCAAGUUUGCUCCUAAACAACGUAAUUAGACACUUGUUCUAAAGCUCUGUAAGAAAGUGCUUGUUAAUCAGCCACCUCAGUUUCUAAGAGGAAGAAUUAUGUGGAAUUAUCUAUGACCCGUCUAACAAUCAAUUAAAAUGCAAUUAGAUAUAACCAGGAAUUUAGUGUCAUCUAUACCUAAUUGAGUUUACUUUUCAUGGAAAAACAGUUUACAGACAAGUCUAUGAUUUUACAUGCAUAAUUUUGUACAAAAAAAGAAAAUCAUUCUCAAUUCAUAACAGAUUCACGACGCAGAAGUCAAUCCAAUUCUGCAAUUUACGUUUUUCUUCGACAAGGUAUUUAAUAUAUCAAUGCACAGUACUAAUAAUUUAUUCUUUACUGCAAUUGUUGAUUCAUUAGAAUUGCAUUGUUAUACACACCUUUUCUUCGUUAAUUUCUAUCUUUUCAAUCUGUUGUCGGUUUCUUUACACUGGGUUACUUACUUUCAUAUUAGCAUUCCUUGAUGAUGUAUCUAUUUGGAUGCUCAGGCUUAAUGUUCCCCUCCAACAUUUUCAAAAUUAAUAAAAUUUGGGACUGAUAUUACUUCCCUUAUACAGAAUUUUCUCAAAAAAAAAAAAAACUUUCUUAUUAACAACUCUUCAUUUUGUGCUCUUUGCUGCUUUAGUUGUGAACUUCUACCUUGUGCUUUAUUAAAUUGCUUUAUUUUUCGAACAUGCUAGCUACUAUCCUACCUCCUAAUUGAAAAAAGAAAAUUCUAUGAUUUAAAAAAAAAAAAAAAAACUGGGAUGAAUCUCAGUAGUAAAGAAAAUAACAAAUGAAUAACAUGGUUGUAAAGAAAAUCUGUGCUACUAUGCCAAAAGCAAUAUUUGUGGGAAGUUGUGUACAAUCUCAACUAAGUAAUACAUUUUCACACAAAAAGCAAUAUUUGUGCACAAGAAUUGAAGAAAAUGACUUUUCAUAGAGUCAUUUUGUACAUAGUCAAAGGUUUUCCACUAUUUGCUUUUGUGCACCCAUAUUCCUACAUGUCUAUGUAUCGUCAUUGAUGUUUUGGCCCCCCAUACUCCUAAGUGACUGAAGUUCUUGACAAUUUUCUUGUAAGCAAACAUAAAAAUGUAUUCAUUUAUCCUUAGUCAUUGUGGCUUCUCAUAGACCACACCCUUUCUCCUUUUUUUCAUAGGUAUUUACCCUAUGAAAGCACAUUGUGAACAUGGGUUUUAUUCUAUCUUAUGAAUUAUUUAGUUGUUUUAGAUUUUUUACCUCCUAACUGAACUAUAAAGCUAAAUCUCCAAUAAACUUGGAGACUUGUGUUCAUUAACAACUUUAAUUUAGACUAAAAUUUGCAAAUUGUUAAGGAUUUGCAUAGUCAAUCUAGCUGCAAGAUUUCACGAAUAGUUCUCAAGUGAACGUACAGGUUGCAGGUCACCAUGACAAUUUUGAUAGUCUUUCUCAAUUACCCCAUUUUGUUCACUACUAAUUAAAAUAUCAGCAGGGAAAAGACGAAGCAGAAGAAGAGACAGAUAAUGAAGAGCAGCAGGACAAAAAAGGAGGAGAUAAUGUGAGCCCCAAUAUUAGCUUAACUUAUUUAUUUUUUUUAUUGCUUCAUAUAUAUAUAUAUAUAUAUAUAUAUAUAUAUAUAUAUAUAUAAUAAAACGUUUGUUGCCUCAGGAAAGAAAAUUCAAAGAUUAACGUUAUUUCUUUCCAGCAUUUUAAGACUUUUCUUAAACAGCCAAGUAUAUAUCCAUCUAGCUACGUCGCUAAUAUGGUCUAUUGAUGCAUUAUCAAUUAUGAGGAGAAAAAGCUUAAAAUCAGAAUCAAAAUCCUUCACUGAUUUACUAGUAAAUAAUGUCUUCUAGUUACAGCAAGAACUCAUAUUUUCCACAUAUUCUCGUGUCUUCCAGGAGGUUUUUUCAUCUGGGGUGAUCAAUUCUUCAGCAGAUUCCCAAACGUAUGAAAAUACUGGUGGACUUUCUGGACUUGACGACUUCGCAUAUACCGAAACAACUCUGCACCAGACAAAGGUGAUUCUACCUAAAUUGAAAGCAUACGUUCCUCAGAAAUUGUUCCUUGAGUUUAAACCAAACAUUUGUUCCAAAGACGACCUUGUGAUAAAAGUCAUCAUGUCUAUUUAAAACUUUCUUCUUCUCUUUUGUGAAUUCUCUAAAAAAUGGAAAAUUUUCAGGAUUUUUCAAAUUAAUUAAUCCCACAAUUAUUGAAUUUUCGUCAUCCUACUUGAUGUUCCUGUUUUAAUUUAUACAAGUGUUAUUUGGUAACCUCUGUAACUCUGUUUGGAUCUAUUUUGAAAUCUAUUUCAUACCCCGUCUUAAUAUGAUUAGAUUUAGUCACUUGCUGAUAUUUCAAUUCCUGUCAUUUCCAUAAUAUAAAUCAUGAUAAUUUCAACUUCCUCCCGGACUAUCUUCCCUAACACAUAUUCCAAUUCUUGCUAAUUUCUUUUCAUCAAUUGAAUUUUCACCAAAUUUUUGCAGUAGAAGGACGAAACAAGUAUAGCAGAAGGAAACUAAAAAUGUACUUAGAGGACAAGGCCGCACUAGUCUGUCAAGUUUCUUGAGUAAUAGGUGUGGACUUGGCAAGUAAUAUGGUAUCGACUAUUGUAUUGCCAAGAUAUGUAACCAGGAUGAUGAUAUGAUCUAAUUAUAGCUGUCAAACAAACCCAUUUAAAUAAAUUUAUCCAUACCCGUCCAUGAAUAGAUGGGUAUGGGUAUCUUAAAUUUUUGCAUAUGGGUAUAAAUGGGUUAUCCAAUAAUACCCAUUUAUUAAAUGGGUAUUAUUGGGUAACCCAUCAAACCUAAUUAACCCAUUUAAAAUUGUCUUCCCCUAAACCUCCUCUCUCCCCCCACCCAUUUUUUUUUCAAAUUUUUCAUUUUAUCAUGAUGUUAACUACUUUUGUUUCAUUAUUAUUAUUAUUUGUUGGUUUUAUCUUAUCAUUUUAUUUUCUAUUAGUUUGUUAACUUGUUCAUUUUUCAACAUUACCAAUUUAUGACAAGUUUUAGUCUCUUUUCUUACUUUUCCAAAAUGAAAUUUUAAAUUUACACACGAAAAAAUGCUAGAGAUUCAAAAUUUUUGGAUUAAGUUUUUAUGUUAACUUUUAUAGUACUUAGUUCAAAUUUAUAUAUUCUUAUUGUUUAAUUAUUAAAUAGUAUGUAAUUUUGCGACAUAGAGUACGGAUGGGAAAAAUUGAUAAUUAGGCUUAUUGAGCAUUAUAAGUAAAUAUUUAAAACUAAUGAUGGGUGCAAAGGAUGGUAUAAAUUAAUAACUUAGUUUGCAAAAAUGAAUUUAAAUGAAUUUACAAAAAUUUAAAAUAAAUGAGUUAUAAAUGGGUAAUUGGGUUACCCAAUUCAUUUUUUGACUUACCCAUUUAUACCCAUCUAAUUAGAUGGGUAUAAAUGGGUUGACUCACUUAUACCCAUUACCCAUUACCCAUUUUACCCAACCCAAAUCCGACCAAAUCACCCAUUUUGACACCUCUAGAUCUAAUGCUUUUAUUUCUUGUCAUGAAUAAUUAUCUCUUCUACUUCUAGUAAGUUUGUAGUGCUCUGAGUCUUGGUAAGUUAUGUACCUCGGAUUCAAAGCAAAUGGCUACUUUUGAAUAAAAGUUGUAAUUUCUCAAAAUUGGCAUUACUAACUUUCCUUGAUAUUUUUUAGACCAUUUUUUGUGGAGAAUCACCAUUUUCAUUUGCAUGUGUUAAAAUUUAAAAAUUCACAAAUUUGCCUUGCAUAAAGUAAGAAUUAAGACUUUUUAUCCCACAUCUAAAAGGGAAUCUCAUAAUAUGUUUGCACAAACUGCUAUUCUUAUAAACACAGUUUGGGCGGGGUUGGUUGGACCUGUUGAACCAAGAACUGGCUAAGCAUCUGGUCCAAGCCUCCCCAAAUAUUCGCUCACCAAAAAUUCGGUUGAAUUUGAUCAAAAUUCAGGUUCAAUCAGAAACCCAUUAAACCAGUGAGAACCGGGUUUUUUCAUUUUUCUUUUUUGAGUCAUUUUUUUUUUGCUGCUGACUUUAUGUUUUUUUACUUUUUUUAUUUUCCUGAAUUCUAUUGAAGAAAAAAAAUGAAAUCAACCAUAAUUCAUCUAUCAAGCAAGAUCUACUACAAAUCUAACAUCAAAAUUCAAAAAUCAAUAGAAAAAAGUAAGAGAGAGAGAUAGAGGAUAAAAAGAAAAAAAGAAAAUGUUAAUUAUAGAGGAUAAAAAGAAAAAAGAAAAUGUUAAUUUAAGCUUUGAAUAAAAACUUGAAAAACAUGAGAAUGUAAAUAAUAAGAUGAUAUGAUGUUUUUCUUUUGAUGAAGGAAGAAAACAAGACAAAGAUUAAAAAAAGAGAGGAAAAGGAGAAACAAAAAGACUCAGAAGAGGAAUGAUACAGAAAACCGAGAAAGACGGGAAGUCCAAUACAAUAGCAACUCUUUCAAACAAGUAAAUGAAGCGAAUGUUUAAUAAACUUUUCUAUUAUUCUGUUUUGACCUCUAAAUAUUUUAAACAAUUAUAAUUACUCUUAUAAGCUUUUUUAGAUUUUCAAUUGUAGCUUCAAUAUCUUUACUUCUUCAAAUCAAUGUUUUUAAAAUCAAAUGGUUGAGUGACCCAACUGAGUGACCGAUUUCGAUUUUUGCUAGUCCAACCAGCCGGAUCACCGGUUCAAUGUUUUUCUUUUUUUUUUUGUAUGAACUUUUAUUUUAAAAUUUAUAUAUGAUAAUUUAAACAAUUCACGUGCUGACCAACUUAAAGUCAAGCCCAAUAGUUCCAAAAGAAUGAACAUUCCUCAUUGGAAUUGUCAAUUUUCUAAUUGGAUCUAACCAAAAAAGCAUUCCAAUUAAACCCAAAGCAAUAAAAAAUUGUGUCUUUCCACACCAGUUGUUGGAAAAAUAAAAAUUAAGAGAUUCACUAGAAAGAGUAUUAGAAGAGAAAAAGAAUUGCUGCGCCAAAAGAAAUCAAGCUUUGCUCCACAAACACAAUGAACAAAAACUGAACAUUAAAGCUUAUUAGAAUAGGAUGAUUGAUAUAUCUUAGUGUUGAAGAAAACAAGAAAAUCAUCAGAAUUCCAUAUCAAAAAAUUAUUGAAAACCCUUAAAAUUAAAGUAGAGUUUAGAUAUAAAAGAGUUUGGAUCUAUGAAGUUUAUAAGUAGGGGGAGCUUGGAUCUAUGGACUUCUGGAUUUGGAGAUAAAAGAAGAGAGCGUGGCUACAAUGGUGUUUGGUGGAGAGGUGAAGUUGCUUGAUCUUUCGAUAUUAGUGUCGGCAGCAAAGGUGUAAAUUAACUAAGUUACUUGAUGUGAACACAAUAAUAGCUCAGUCAAAAGUUUGAUUCGUACUCAGUGUUGAUCGGGUUUGAAUCACUUGAUAAAAUAAUCAAGUCGAGUUUGAGUAGAAAAAACAAAAACUUGAGCACUCAUCAAGCCUUAUUGAGCAAUGUCAUUGUAAUAAAUUUCUUGAUUAUUUAUUAUAAAAUUAUAAAAUUUACUGAAAAAACCAAACUUGAAAACUCAAGCUCGAACUUAAGUACUUUUACAUGAGUAGAGUUCGAGUAGUACAUUAUUUAAGUUCGACUCGACUCGAUAGCAACUCUAGAGAGUAAGUUGUAGUACUUGACAAUUGACAUAAGAAGAGGCGAAAAAGGUUUGAGGGUUUAUUUGAUUAUUAAUUUUUUGUUUGUAGACUAAAAGUUGGCGGUGAAGUUUUAAUGUGAGAUGAAGUAGAAAGUCUGAUAGGUAGGCAGAAGGUCACGUGAAUUAAUGGGAAUUGGGGGUCUUGGGAUAAAUUAAACAUUUAGAUUUGUAAAGAAAGUCAAAACCCAGCUUGAUCAAUUAAUCACGUUUUCGCGGUUUUAACGGUCUUGAUCAGUUUUAUAUCAUUUUUCAAUUUUAGUAUUUAAUCGGAUCGAUAUCAUGGCCGAUUCUCGAUUCAAUCAGUCGAAUUGACCAAUCCAGUCUGGGUUACGAAACACUGCUUCAAGUAUGUCUUACGAAUUUAGUUCUAAACUUGUCAAUUUGUAUUUACAGCUUCUAAACAUUAAACUUGAGUUAGGUUUAAAGGGUAUUGAAUUGUAGAAUAUUUGGAAUAAAGUUUAAUAUAUAUUUAUAUAAAAUUAUUAUAUAUUUAUAAUAUCAUGAUAAUAUUAUCUGGUUCUUAGAUGAGUCCGAAUCUGAUCGAACACAUUGACUCUUGACUAUUAAACUCGGCCAAAUCAUGGCCCAGUCCGAAUUUCAAAUUAUAGACAAAUUCACGUACAGUUUUUUGGGUUUAUGUUAAUUUAGAAAUCACAACCAAGAAAAAUCCUAACAAGAGCAACAGAUAGAGACAAUCUCAAUUCCUGUUCAUAAUUGAAGGGACCUCCUCGACUUGCCAUUUAGAUCAGUUGUGUAGAUUCCUGUUAAUGAAGGGAUUUUUAGGUAAUAUUGUUGUAUAAAAUAUCGGAUAUAGUAUUCACUUGAAUCUUCUAAGUUCUAAAUGUCUAACUGCCAAACCUAAACUAUUCAAACCUCGCCUUUAUGAACAUUAACUAGGAGUGGACAAAAAAGGACUGUCGGUGAAUUAACAUCCCAGCUUUCAAAAUUCAUCUUCCACCCCAAAAGUUUCACUAAAUUGUGAGCGACACGCACAUUGUUUGAUAUAGACUGAUAGCCUGCAAUACGAAUUUUAAUGCGUAUUUGAUAAAAUGCGUAGUGUGUAUUUUAGAUUUAGUUAAACUCUCUUAGAUGAUUACUCAGUUAGCUAAUGCUUGGAAGAAGGUGAAUGUGCCUAUAAUAUCACAAAACAUGAUAAGAGUGGCAAAACUAAGAUCCAUAGCUCCUUAAGUUUAAUUUCAUGAAAAUUAUUUGUUAAUUAUUGUGAAUUAAAUUUGUCUUCAUAUUUAUGUAAGAUUAAUUCAAAAACUAAAAUGUUUUUUCACCACUAACCCUUACCGGAGGUUUUUUCUUUUCUUAAGGUAUUGACCCCAACCAGUUUAUUGGAAACUGCUUGUACAAUAGGGUUUUGAAUGUGCAGAACCUGACCUCCGCAACAAUCUUUAACUGCUGGAGGUGAAGAUUGGUUUUAAGCUAUGUCUCUCUUGUAUGUAAAGCAUCAAAUUACUAACCCCUUUUCAAGAACAUAAACACUGAAACAACUUCUCAACAUCUUAAUGGAUGCAUUUCCUGGUUUCCCAUGUUAAGCCCUAGUUUCAAGUAGAUUAAUGACUCCAACUGGUGCCGGUCAUAUUCAGGUUUCGCUACCCACCGACCCACGUCUGAGUGUCCAUAUAGAAAUAACCUUGGAAUAAAUGAGGGUUACCGAGGAUAAUUUCUUAUUCCCUCAAACACAACGUCAUUUGAAUCACAUUCCUCGGAAAAGGCAAAAGCAUGAAUUAGUGUCUCGGAGCAAGCAAACUGCAACAACAAUCUUUGAUGUUGCUUUUUUUUUUUUUUUUUUUUUUUGGGUUAAAUUACUUGAUUUCUUUCAAGUACUUCUACUUUCCAUAAUUAUUCGCAUUGGGAAUUACUGAAAUGGUGUUUUCACUGUAAAAUGUACGAUCUCUCUCUCUCUGAGAAAAAAAAAUGUAUAGUCUCAUUUGCUUCUUGAUAUAACUUAGGACUAGUGUGCAUGAUUUUAUUAAAAACCAGUUACAAAUUGGACUCUUUAGGUGAUCAGAUUUUGACCAUGAUUUUCCACAGAGGAAGUCCGUGAUGCUGAAGCUAUUUACUGGUCCAAUGAAGAACUAAUAAACCAAUGAAGAACAUACAUGUGAUUGCCAAUCCAAUGCACAAGUUGAAGAUAUUAGUUCAGCUUUAACACUAAGGACGCGCAAUUCUUUCAGCCAGUAUGCAAGCAUGCAACACUGAAACCAUUGAAAUGCUUGAUUGAGACAGCAAAAUAUGACUACGCAAGUGAUAUAAUAAUUUAAUCCCCAUUUAUAAUUUUCAUUGCGUGGUCGUCUUCAGAAAGCGACCAUAAUUGUCUCUAGCUAGUCAUCAUAAAAGUUACAAAGAGGGGAAAAAAAAAAGAUGAACAUGCUUUUCCUUCUUUGUUUGUUUGGGAAUCAAAAAAGAUUAGUAGAUGGUAAAAAUGAUGAACUUCAUAAAGAUAUUAAAGGCUAUAAAAGUAAGAGUAGAAAAGAAUCUAUCAAUCUUUAUUUCUUUGCGUGGCUUGCAAAAUAUCCCCUUGCGAUUAACCCUUACUUCUUGAUGGAAUCUCAUAUAUAUCCUGCAACCUGUAAGAUCCUUUAUUGCCAUGUCAUAGUAAAGAAUUUGAUCCCACUAUUCUCAUGCCUUAAAUCUUACUUCUUGCUUCCCUCCUUUCUCUAUUUCUCAAUGAUUUUUUUGGUAAAAAUGAAAAGGAAAAGAGGUGCUUAUUCUAAAGGAAGAAAACAAAAGGCAUAUUCCGCGAGAAUUCUAUCCCAUUUGGAUUGAUUUCAACUGUAAUGCCCCCUCCUUUACUCAAUGUCGGCAAAGGAACAUGAUAUGAGUAUUAGGAAAAUCAUGACUUUUUGUCAAAACAAUUAAUUAUGCACCCCACUAGAGAUCAACUCCACCUCCAAGAUUUCGACACAUUAGCAUACAUUCGCCUAUAAAAACCACAGCCCACUGUCCAUUCAAAUUGCACUAAUAACACUGUUAUUUUUCCACACUCUAAAAUUUCAAUCAACCUUCUUUAGCAUUCCAUAUUUUCUUUAUCCUUAAUUCAUCAUCAUGGCUGAAGAGAAGCACCACCAUGGCUUCUUCCACCACAAGAAGGAUGAAGACCAAGAUCGGCCAGGCUACGGUGGUGAUGCACCCUAUGACUCCACCACCGGUGGUGGCUAUAACCAGUAUUCUAGUGAUACCACUGACACUGGAUACAACAAGUACUCUGGUGACACCACCACUGGUGGUGGCUACAACGAGUACUCCUCCGGCGGUGAUACCGGAUAUGGAAACAAGUACUCUGGUGAUAAGACCACCACGGGUACCGCCUAUGGUGGUGGUGGUGGCUAUGGUAGUGGCUAUGGUGGUGCUGAAACUGUGGGUGAUGACUCUGAAAAGCCUGAUUAUGAGAAAGAAAAGAAGCACCACAAAAAUCUUGAGCACCUUGGUGAAGCUGGUGCUCUUGCUGCUGGUGCCUAUGCCUUGGUAAGUUUCUUUGCUUUUUAGUUUGUCCAACAUUCAAUUUUCUUAUAAUGACUGUUCAUGUUAUAUAAUUUUUUGGGGUCAUUUCUAGGGGGUUUUAUACGUAUCUUUUAAUUUAUUUUACCUUUCUUUAGCAUACUUGAAAAAGGGUAGUCAAAUUAUGGAGGGUUUUAUUCUUACAAAGUGAUAGUUUUAUGCCUAGAUAUCGUUGAUUUUUGUUUCUUUUUUCUCGUUUGAUUAAUUUCUUGUUUCUUUUUUUUUUUCAAUGUCAAUUAUGUACCAGUAUGAGAAGCAUGAGGCAAAGAAGGACCCCGAGCAUGCUCACAGGCACAAGAUAGGAGAAGAGAUUGGAGCGGUAGCCGCACUUGGAGCUGGUGGAUUUGCAUUCCAUGAGCAUCACGAGAAGAAGGAAGCUAAAGAAGAUGAGGAAGAGGCCGAGGGGAAAAAGAAGCAUCACUUUUUCUAAUUCCCGUGAUCACAUAUAUAUCAAUAUAUAUAUCUGUAUAUGUACCUUUAA